GUUGGGUCGGUGUUGCAUGAUAUAUUUCAAUCGUCCGCUCUCACAGAACCAAACACCGCCGGUUGCCGGAGGCUAAGAGCGAUCUCUGUAACUCCUCUCUCCGGAGACCCAAACACCCCCAGUCCCAAUCCUUGGCAGGAGACCCACUAUAUGUCUUUAAUCCACGAAUCAUCAAGAUUGAUGUAAGUUUAAGGGGUUUCUGUACUAAGAUGCUGUAAGUUUAAAAUUGAUGUAGGGACGAGAAAAAUCGAAAGUUAAUUGCUGUUUUCUUAGUUCUCUCUCUCUCUCUCUCUCUCUCUCUCUCUCUCUCUCUCUCUCUCUUCUCAUUAGGGUUUCUUGUUUUACCCUGUCUUCGUCUCUCCAUUAUUUCGAUGGCGUUUUUAUUUCUGUAAAAAAACUGAGUUUCUGGGGUUAAGUAACUGAACUAGUUUCAUUGCAUCUUAAAAGGGAAGGAAAGUACAGACUCUAGCUUUGUUGAUCUUUUCGUUGGGGAUUUUCAUCUUUUUCCUUUCAUUGGGAGUUUUGCUGUAAAAUCUAAUAUAGCGUGUCUGUUGUGUUUAGAUGGUUUUGUUCUAGUGAAAUCCAUUUUCUUUUUGUGUGUAUGUGAUCCAUUGUUUUCUUUAAUAUCUUGCUUAAUGUUUAUUGUGUUUCUUGUUUCUCUUCCAUUGCUUUGCUUUUACUGAUAAAAGAACUUUUGGUCAAAAUCUUGGAUCUACUCAUGUUUUAAACAUGUUAGGUUUGCUUACUUGAUUAAUAUUGGCUAAUAACAACACAUAAUCUGCCACAUUUAUGUAUUUCUACCUUUUUCAGCUAUUAUCAUCUAACAAAUCCUCUUUUUGUGGCUAUUUGAUAGAAUAACUUAACAGGAGCACCUAGAAAUCUGGAAAAAAAGCUCACCAUUAUACGAUGCAGAUGCAAAGGUAAGAAGCUAAACUAUACUUUAUUACGCUUAACUUUCAUGGCAUUAAACUCUCACUAGUUUCGUUUUAUUAAGAUAUUCUACUUGUAAUUUUAGCAUUAUACCUUUAAUUAUAGGGUUAUGUUUUCAAGAAUUAACCUAUUAAGAAAUUCUACUUUUUAUCUUUUUCCUUAUAAAGAGUACAUGAAGAUUUAGCCUAUUAAGAUAUUGUCCUUUGAAAUUUGAAACUUUUUGAUUUUGGUUACCAGAUUAUAGCAUACAACAUUAUAUUUUGAAAACCUUGUCGACUAUAGUAUUCUAACUUCAAUUGCAUUGUUUAAUUCUUAUAGUCUCACCAUCUAACAUAUUAAGAUAUUUUUCUUCUAGUUUUUUCAUGUUAAGAUUUCAUUAAUUUUUUAUUGAAUCAUUGUCUCAUUUAGGGCAUUAUACUUCCAAACUCUUUCUUGCUAAGAUGUUCUAUAAUUUAUUUUCUAUUAAGACACUCUACUUUGAAAAUCUUGUCACAAGUAGCAUUAUACUCUUUUUUUCUUAACAAGUCAAAACUAACCUAUUAAGACAUUGAUUUUUUCCAUUAAUUUGUUUCAAAUUUUAACAUUAUAUUUUCAACACUAACAAGUCAAAACUAACCUGUUCAAACAUUGUACAUUGAAAUUUGUUUGAUUUUGGUUAUCAGUUGUAGCAUUAUACUUUCAAUUAUUUUCUUUUUUUAAAGACAUUGUAGUUUGAAAAUCUAACCAAUUGAAGAAUUAUACUUUCGAUUUUUGUUGAGUUGUACUUCAGUUUUUUUUUUUCCUUUAAGAGAUUGUACUUUAAAUCUAAUCUGUUUCAAAAAUCUGUUUGAUUUUGUCACCAUUAAUGGUGGUAUGUAUCUAUUCUUUCAUAUUUAUAAAUUUUAGUUUUUUUUUUCCUAUUAGACAUGUACUUUGAAAAUAUAAAGUUGUUUUUGUUUACCAAUUAUGACAUUGUACUUUCUUCUAUAUUUUCUUAUUAACACAUUACAAUUCCUAUUGUUUUUUUUCCUAAUUAGACAUUUUCCUUAUAUUUUUUUCCUGUUAUGACAUUGUACAUUACAAAUUUACACUUUGUUGAUUUUUAGUGCCAAUUAUGGUCUUAAAUUUAUAUUUUUUUUUCUAUUAACACAUUGUACUUUUAUCCUUUGCGUAAAAUUAUAUUUUCAAUUGUAUCUUUAUACUUUCAAAAUCUAACCUAUUAAGACAUUGUAAUGUUGAUUGUUUUCUUGUUAAGACUUUUGCAAUUAUAGAAUCUAACUUAUAAUAAGACUGUAUUAUAAAAAUCUAUACUGUUUUUUUUGUUAGUGGUUAUAUCAUUAUACUUACAAUUUUUUUUUAUGAAAACAUUAUACUUAUAUUAUUUAUCUCAUUAAAACAUACUUUGAAAAUCUAACCAUUUGCAACAUUAUUUUUUUUCAAUUCUAAUAUAUUCUUUGAAUGCAACUUUUCAAGAAGUACUUUUGUUUUUUCUUUUUUUAUUAUUGUAGUUUAAAAAGAUCAACUUUAAUUUUUGUUACCAAUUGUGGCAUUAUACUAAGAAGACUAUAAUUUGUCCUAUUAAGUCAUUGUAUAUUUGUUUGAAUAAAACUAAACCUGUUUGAUUUUAUUAACUAGUUAACAUAUAUAUAUAUAUANNNNNNNNNNNNNNUCUAACCUAUAAAGACAUUAAUUUUUGAAAUUUUUUCCAUUUUGGUUGCCAGUUGUAUCAUUACACUUUCAACAUAAUCUUUUUUUUGUUAUUAACUAUUGCAUUACACAAUUUAAUAAGACAUUUUACUUUCAACUGUAUUUAGUUCAGACAUUCCCUUUUAAAAAACCGACCUACUAAGACAUUGUACUUUGAAAAUCUAAUCUUAUUUGGUUUUAGUUACCAAAUAAUAUCUCAUUUUUUCAUUUUAAGAUUUCACUUUGAAAAUCCCUUUUUAGACAUUGUAGAUCUGUUUUUUUAUACACUUCAUAAAUCUAAUGUAUUAUUUUUGUUUUUCUUAUUAAUACAUUACACUUUGGAACCUUAACGUGUUUACUUUUGGUAACCAAAUAGCGUUAUGCUUCUCAUUAUUCUUCCUAUUAAGAUGUUAUGUUUUUAAUAUGUAUCUUUAUUUUAGUUCAGCAUAAUAGUUAAAAUUAUUUAUUAUUAAUAUUAUUUGAAAAUCCAUCUUGUUAAGACGUACUUUUACUUUUUUUUUUCCUUGCAGCAGGCAAAAAUAUCAACUUUAAAUAUAUUACCAAUUGUGGGAUUACACUUUCACUUUUUUCUGAUUAAGACAUUGUAGUUUAUAAUAAUAUAUGCUAUAUUUUUUGUAUUAUGAGAUUAUUUUUUGAAAAUCUAACCAAUUAUAAUAUUAUAGUUUCAAUUAUAGUGUUGUACUUCUAUUAUCUAUUAUAGUUAGACAUCGCACUUUGAAUAUCUAACCUAUUAAGACAUUUUUUUUUCUUAUGGUUACCAAAUAGCUUUAUACUUCUCAUUUUGUCCUAUUAAGAUAUUGUGAUUUUAAUAUAUUUCACCAUUUAGUUUCACAAAAGUAAUAUAAGUGCAUUUGUGGUUUGCUGUUUGGUUUUGACAAAUAACUGCACUCGACUCAACCCUAGUUGCUUCUAACUAUUAAUAGCCACUAUUUUUGUCAUAUUUAUCCAUUUUGAGGAUGAAGUGAAUAUAAAUAUGCAAGAUAUUCCAUAUUUUGAAAUUCCUAGGAUCUUGAACAAUUAAAAAUACGAACCUAGUAUUUGCUCACGUUCUUGUGCCUAAGGAUUUUCAGCUGUAUUAUAUGAGUAUGAUUUUUCUUUUAGUCACUAACCAAUAUUUAUUUAAUUAAUAAUUUAUUUCUUCAGUAUGGACUAACAUCUAACAUGUAGCAUAUUAUCUGGGAUGGACAUAGGUUUUGUUAUUGGUAUUGUUGUAUAAUAAAAGAAAAAAUAUAUCAGUAUUUUAAUUAAUAUUAACCGGAGACCAAGAAAAUGAAAUCAUAGUGUUAUUUAAAUUGAAUUUUAAAACUUUAAUUAACAUUCAAAACACUUUUGCAGGUUUUGCAAUUGACCAGUCAUUUUUCAUUUUUCUGCCCUAGCUACUUGAAUUACUACCUCAAAACACAUUUGUAAUACAAAUUGAAAGGGUACUUGUGAGAUUUUAUAAAACAUCACAUAUAGUAGUGUACCCCAUCAAAUGGUUGGACUCCAAGAGUCCAUGUUAAAAUGUUUCCAACAUAUGGCCAAUCCUAGGCAAACACCUAAUAUUGGCAUGAGUGUUGUAACCAACAUCGGAUUAUCGACCCUCUAAAUAGACCAAAUCAGACAACCUGCGAAAGCCACAUCAUACCAACACUUUUUCAGGACAAAAAGGAAGAUUUUAUCCCUAAAAACAACAAUAUAAAUAACACCUACAUGGAAGUUGUUAGUAAGACUUAACAUACUCUCAAACACUUCUGGAGUCUCUAUAUUCUACCUAGGGCAUUAGAGUGUAAUUCAGAGGCCCAUAUUAUGACCGACUCUAGUUUUCCCUUUACUAAUCAUAGGUUUUAAAGAUAUAUUGUCUCACCCAAAAGACGGCCCAUUUUAGGCCCAUAUUACGAGUGACCCUUGUUUUUCCCUUUUAUGUGUACUGUUCUUAAGGACACUCCACUCUAAUCUAAUACAUCUUAGUCUAUAACUUAUUAUACAACCUAAUCAUUUGACUAACUUUUAUUUAUUACUUUAUGAUAAUCUAAUUAUUUCACUAACUUUAUUAGUUAGUUAUUACAUUAUUAUUAUUUCACUAACAUUAUUGAACUUAUUUUUUGUAUAAGAUAAAUAAGCAACAACUAAUCAUAAAAUAUCUUUCACUAAGUUUGUGUUACUUGUAAAAUUCUAGUCGCGACUUAUAUAUAUAUUGCUGAUGGGCUUUGUUGCGAAUCCAUAAUGCCGCAACGGGAGGUAUUGUGUACUCUCCCUCAAAUUAUACAAUUACAUAGUGAUUGGUGUACACACGUAAAUGUAAGCACCUAAUGAUUUUGAAACUCUUUAGGAACUUUCCAAAGAGAAAAAAAAAUUAUAAAGCUUUCAUUUAGUCAAAAUUUAGAUCAUCACAUCAAACUUUGUUGACUAUUAGGAUGUGUCUUUGGCAUAUGCAUCCGGUGUUUUGUUGGUGCUAACUCAUUCUUAUCACCAUCCAAUGAAAACUAGAGUAAUGCUGAUGAUCUUCACCAUAGCCAAGACCAGCGGUUAUUGAUUGACAACCACAAUUUUCAUUACCCAUUACAAUUUGUAUAUGUGAUGUAUGGAUGAAACAUAAAUAAAAUUUUCCUCCAACAAUGAACUAUGUCCCAUUAAAAUUUUCUUGUUCAAGUUAAUUUAGUAAGAUCAUUGGCAUAUUGGCUCUUCGUUUAAGUCUAUGUAGUAUCAACAUUGGUCUAUUGGUUUCUCGUACGAACCCAUGAAGAAUGAACUAUGCCCAGUCGGUUCAUCGUUCAAGUCCAUGAAUAAUGAAUUAUACCUUGGAGGUUCCUGUUUUAAGUUUGAACAACUGUAUCUAUGAGGAGCUUGACUUUGAUGCUGAACACAUUUUGCUUUUAGGCGCACGUGGUUUUUUUUAACUAAAGGUUCAUUGAUCACUUUUUUUUAAUCCCUUAUCUCUUCCAUCAUUCUUAAAUAAUUAUAUUUGAUAUGAUUUGGUUGAUUGUUGAAUAUUUCUUUAAACUUUUGCUUAUGAUAUAUAGAAGGCUCCAAAUCAAUCGAAUCUAGAAUAGGCAAAACUGUAGUCAACAUAGAAAACAUCAUAAAGUGAUUAACCAGACCUAUAUCGACAUAAAGUUUGUAAGCAUAUGGUAGUCCAAAACAUGUCUACAAUUGACAUCCACAAUUCUCUAGAGUUGUUACAGAACCUCAACGUCCAAACAUCAAACAUCAUGUGCUUUCAAAUACUUUCCUACCAAUUCGAAUGACAAUUAUAUUUUUUUUGUUUGUGCAUCUUUAUUUUUGGAUAUACCACCACAAUUACAACAAAAUACUACUUUAGAGAUGAAACCAUUAGUUUAUAUUUGAUCGUUUAGUGACGACACGAGAUCUAUAGAUGGUAGAGAUUUAAUGACUUUAGAUCUGGUGGAGAUUUAAUGACAAAACAAUGUUAACAUGAGUUUUUCUCUCUCCAUUGUUAGGUCUUUAGAUCUCGUGGAGAUUUAAUGACUUUGGUGUAGAAUUUGACAUGUUCUUAAGGUUACGUCAUCGUCACUAAAUGAUAAAAGCUAAUAACCUGUGUUGCAGAAAUUGAUUGAUUAUCGCUAAUUGGACCUCCAAUGAUGAUAUUUAUUGCUAACUGGUCACUAUAAUCGGGCUUGGUCAAUGCAUGUCAAAGUCGGAAUUAAUCGGACCUAUUCUAGUUUGGUCAAUCCAGGUCAAAGUCGAUCUAAUCGGACAUAAUCAGACCUGAUUUGCCGAUUAAUCGCUUAUUUUGGAGGAUUAAAGUUAGAUUUAUAAAUUUUUGAAUAAUUUUCUUAAUAAUCAAUGAUUCCCGAUUAAUCUUUGCUUAGCCAAUUAAUCCUUAAUUGGUAGCCCACCGAUUAGCGAUUUCUGCAACCAUGGUAAUAAUUAAUGACUUUAUCUCUGAAAUAGUAUUUUGGUUGUGAUUAUGGUGGUAUAUCUAAAAAUAAAGAUGUACAAACAAAAAAAUAUAAUUGUCCAUUCGAAGAAUUGUUAGUAUUUGAAGGCGUGACUUUAAAGAUUUGCAACAACCCUCGAGAAUUGUCGACGUCAAUUGCGAACAUGUUUUGGAUUACCUUGUGCUCACAAGCUUGCGAUGUAUGUUAUAAUCAAUUUAUGAUAUUUUGUAUGUUAUUCUUUUUGGAGAAAGCUUGAUUUGGAGUCUUCUAUAUCUCUAUGAAUAUGGUGAUCUUAGUGUUGAUCAUCAAAUGUAAAGGUUUAAAAAAAUAUUCAACAGUCAAUCAUAUCAUAUCAAUUACAAUUAUUUAAAAAAGAUGGAUCCAUCAAAAAAAUUUGAUUAAUGAACCUUCAAUUAAGGAAAAUAAUUGUGGACGUCUCAAAAGUGAAUAGUUAAGCUUCUCACAAAUAUAGUUGUUCAGACUUAAAUCAGGAACCAUCAAGGUAUAUUUUAUCAUUCAUGGACUUAAACGAUGAAAUGACUAAGCAUAGUUUGUUUAUCAUGGGUGAGUAUGAGGAACCAAUAGACCAAUGUUCGUAACACAUAGACGUAAACGGGGAACGAAUAAACUUUGUAGAUUAACUUGAACAAGGAAGUACUAAUGCGACAUAAUUCAUUGUUGAAGGAAAUUUCCUCUAUAUUUCAUCUAAUACAUCACAUACAUUACACAAUAUAAUGGGUGAUGGAAAUUGUGGUUGUCGAUCAUCAACCAUUUUGUUUUCGGUAUGGUGAUCAUCAGUUAUACAUCACACACAUUUUGCCUUCAUUGUCUUUCUUUAUGAAGAUUUAGCCAACAUGAAAAACACAUUGGGUGCUUAUGUCUAAGACAGACAUCUUGAAAACCAACAAAUUUGGUGUGAUCGUCCAAUUUUUGACCAAUGAAGACUUGACUUUUUUUUUUUUUUUUUUCCUGUUGGAGAUGUCCUAAAUAGUUUCAAAAUCAUUAUGUCAUUACAUUUACCCUUGUGUACAUUGAUCACGACAUCCGCCACAAAGCCUUGUCAGUUGAUUUUUAUAAAAUUAUGUCAGUUGAUUUAGUUGAAAAACCCGAUUUUUAACCUUGGCAUAAACUCUAGGGUUUCGAUUUUUAUAAAAUUAUGUUGUUUAAAGUGGUUUUUCUUGUGAGUUGAUUCAAUUAAAAUCAUCUGAACCCCAACAUGCCAAAACAACAAUGAUACCCUAUGAGUCGAUUUUAAUCUUCUAACCCUUUAAUGUCACCUUAUAGUCUUCACCAAUCCCCCUUGUGUUGAUUGAUAGAAAAUUCAUUAAGUAUUUCAGCCAACACUAGAUUAUUGACGUCAAUCUUAAAGCCAAUCAUUGCCCUAAUAUUUGUAGUAGCCUUGGUUUCACUAAUCUUCUAUGUGGUGUUGUAAUCGAUGAUUUGAGUGGAAGGGAUAGGGUUCUAAGCCGACAUAUGAGGUCUGAGCUCAAUAGGGUUCUCAUCACCGUUUGUGAAUAGAUCAUGGAUUGGGAACUGCGACCUAUGAUUCAAGAUCUCGGAUACGACACCUCUUGUUAGAAGAAUAUCCGUUCACACUUGCUUGUUAAAAGAGUUGGCAAUUGGAUCAAGUUUUAUCUACAAAAAAUGAAAAUACCUUAUGUUUUACGCUUUUUUUUAUGUGCUCGUGAAAGAAUCUCGUGUUUUCGUCCCUAUCAACCAACCAUUUGAUCUGGGAUUUUUGUUUGAUAUCAAGAAUUUUGUUUUUUUUCCAUCUCAAUGAUCGAUUUGUAUCCUGUAAUUCUAGUCUCAAUUUCUUUAUCAGUUAACAGUCUUGAUUUAGCUUCAAAAUCAAAUGGUCCAUCAAUUUCUUGAAUUGCAAGAGUUCUUUCUCCUCCUUUGACUAGCCAGUAGCUCUACAUUGUUUCUAUCUAGAUAUGUUUGAGCUUGGCUGCCAAAUACAUAUUAGGUGUACGAUAUCCAACAGAAUUAUUCCAUUGGAUAUAAAACCCUUCUUGAACCUAUCCCUCAACAUCCAGGAAUUGAAGAACCCGAAUGGAGACAGGCCAAAAUCAUGACGAGAGGAGGACUUGAGAAAAAGAUAGUGGUCCGAAAGUUCUCUAGGAAGAGUUGUUAACUAAAACAUGAGGGUUAAGGUUGAGAAAAGUGGGAUAAACGAGAAAUCGCUCAAGUUUAAUGAGUUUAAGAUCUGCAUUGCGGAAGCAUGUGAACCGAUAACCCCUCAUUUUGAUUUCUCUAAGCCCUGUCUAAUGUAUGAAAUUAUUAAAGUCUACCAUUUCUUGAGCUUAAAAUCAAGUUGAUUCUCUCCUAUUUUAUCCGCAUGACAUUGAAGUCUCCCAUCGCAAUCCAAAUACCAGAGUUUUAUUUAUUUAUUUAUUUAUUUAUUACCGUCAAUUAACACCUUCCACAAUGUUGCUUUAUCAGAUGUAGAUUGAGGCCCAUACACAUUAGCAAAGAUCACAGGUAUCUCGAAUGCCAUUCCGGAGUCCUAUGUUAAUUAACUAGUGUCUAGUGGAAAUAACCUCAUUAGAAGUGAACAUGUUUCUGUCCAAAACGUUAAGUAAACUGUAACAUCCCCCUCUGGCACGUAUCACAAUAUUGUCCGUUUUGGGCCACUCGGCACGAGGACUUCCCAGGGGGUCACCCAUCCUGGUACUACUCCCGCCCGAGCACGCUUAACUGCAGAGUUCUUAUGGGAUCUGCUGCCCUCACGGCUUUAAAAUGCGUUGUGUUAGGGAAGGUAUCCACACCCCUUAUAAGGAAUGCUUAGUUCUCCUUCCCAGCCGAUGUGGGAUCAGAUCUAACCCACUUUCACCCCCUUUAUAGGGUUUGACGUCCCCGUCGAACACAUCGACCCGUAACCUGGCUCUGAUACCACUUUUGUCACACCCCGCUAAAGCGGAAAUGCAAGAUAUGAUAGCGAUAAAUCACCAUAGCAGUAUUUAAAAGUUUACAACCCAUAGCUUAAAAAGAAACAAAGUACAAGUUUUCCAAAACACCAUUGUUCAAAAUAUAACUUCAUAAUAGCUUCAACACGAUGUUCAACACGAUGCAGCAUGCUCUAUGAUGAUGAAUCUUUACAGCCACUUACUAAUUAUUUCCUGAAAAAGCAUGUAAAACGAGCGUCAACUAUGAAAAUAGUUGGUGAGUUCACAAGUUUAUAAAAUCGAGCUUGAAAUAAGGCUUUUCGUAAAUACAAGUACAUUGCUUUAAUGAUAAACAAAGUUGAUUGCUAUUAAUGAAUACAAGUUUAUUGCUAUAACGAGAAAUGAGUUUGUAUGUAUAUGAGCAAACAAUGAGUCUCAACCAAACCUAUGACUGAAGCCCUAUCGAGAUCUAUGCUUAUCGUUCCAUAGAUGAAUAUGGUAUCAUGCACUCCAGCGAUAGGGGCGAGUGAGGAGUUGUCAAUUCCUAAUAGCGCUAUCCAUAAUGACCAUUGGCUCAAAGAGUUAAUGGUUAGAGAUAAGGGAAGGGCCUUAGUACGAUAAGUUCUCAUGUUCCGUGUUGCAUAGACAUACAUAAAGAAACAUAGCAAUACAAUAGCAAUCAUGUUUGAUACAAAUCAAUUUAAAUACAACAUGCAAAUUAUAGUUUUUCUGGACAUGCUUUUCCACCCCAAAACAUAAAAACUGAAAAUAGGGGAGUGCGUGAAUACUCACAAUGUUUCGUGUAGGUACAAGUAGUGCCUCGAGAUGCACCAACGUCUUUACUACCAGGACCCUAUGACAUCAAACACACACUAGUGAGUUUCCAUGUCGUAAUUUAAUGCUAAUAUACUAAACUCUACACAUAGUGAAAUGCCAAUAGAUCGGAAGNAACUCUACACAUAGUGAAAUGCCAAUUUAUGUUUUAGUAUUGGAUUUUAUAUUAAUUAGUUACACUUUUUCAAAGUUUUAAGUCUUUAUAACAACAUAAAUUCACGAAAAAUAGCAUUCAAAGGAUAAAAAUUUUCAAAAUUUUUAUUUAACUGUUAUUACACAAUACUAAGCUGGGAAUAAUAUAAAAAUGGAUUUCCAAGCUGUUUAAUUAUAUUUUAUGAUUUUUGAGCAUUUAUUCCAAUAAAAAUUGAAAUAAAUAUAAACCAGUUUCCAAAAUUAUCCAAACUUUUUUAUUUGACUGUUAUUAUACAUANNNNNNNNNNNNNNNNNNNNNNNNNNNNNNNNNNNNNNNNNNNNNNNNNNNNNNNNNNNNNNNNNNNNNNNNNNNNNNNNNNNNNNNNNNNNNNNNNNNNGGGGGUGCCGGAUUUUUGAGGGUAUUAAAGUGCCCUCUCUCUCUCUCCUAAUUCAAAUUAAAUAAUUUCCCUCUUCAAUUUUAUAAAACCAUAAUUUUUAUAAAAAUGAUUUUUUAUGUAAUUCUCUAUUUGUUUAAAGAUCUUGUUUUUAUCUAUUAAAUUAUGAUUAAUGUAUGAUAAUUUAAAUUUCUAUUUCAUUGGUAUAAUCCAUAAUUUGAUUAAUAAAAAUUUGAUAUUAGGAAGCUUAUAGCCAAAUUUUAUAAAGUUUUUAAGCUUUAAGAUUUAUAAAUUUGGAUUUUUGGCUCUUUAGGGUUUUUGGAAUAUUGUUUGAUAUUCACCAUCAUAUUGAAAUAUAAUUAGAAUAUUUUAAUUUAUUUUUAGGGUUUUACACCCUUUUUCAAUUGUAACAAAGUUUGAAGUUUCAUUCUAAUUAUAGUAUUGGCAUUUCCUAUUGUAGUUAAGCAACUUACUAGAAUCGUAAGUGUCAAGUAUAUUAGUCCUAGAUCUUAGUUGGAUCCUAGUUUAUGCAAGAUUUUGACCUAAUCUUUACUACUAGGCCAUGGCAUGUUGUGCAUGAAUGGUUUUUAUAAAGAUGCAUGAGUCCGAGAAUGACCUGAAUUGACAGUUGUCACAGUUAUGUGGGUUAGAUCUGAUCCCACAUCGGCUGGGAAGGAGAACUAAACAUUCCUUAUAAGGGGUGUGGAUAUCUUCCCUAACACAACACGUUUUAAAGCCGUGAGGGCAGUAGAUCCCAUAAGAACUCUGCAGUUAAGCGUGCUCGGGCGGGAGUAGUACCAGGAUGGGUGGCCCAAAGCGGACAAUAUUAUGAUACGUGCCAGAGGGGGAUGUUACAAAUGGUAUCAGAGCUAAACUUAUAGAGAACAUCGGUUUUUCUUUAAGAAAACACAACCUAUAACUAAAACUUACAAAGAAAUUCUUUUUACAUCAAACAUAUUACUAGUAUAAUUAGGUCGGGAGUUGUAUCAUUGGACCUCGAUUAAACAUAGCCUGAUCAUCUAUGUUUAAUUAAGGAAAGAUUUAUACAAAGCCUGAGCUAAUUAUAAUGGGAAUAUGUUCAACAAAAUUUUUGAGAAAACUUUAUUUCAAAAAUUCAAAAGGUUAAUUUUGGUGUGUAUAAGCAUUGCAUAUUAUAGGCACGCAUUGUCAUUUAUUUCAUAUCUCAUUAAAACUAUGUCUCAGUCCACUAUGUCAACAUCGUCAUCUUCCCGCGCUACCGCCUCAGCCGACGAGUCCGGCUACGUCACUAUUAUCCCUCGACGUAAUCCCCCCGCCUCGGUAGAAGAAGACCCAUCGGAGGACAUGGAAGAUACAGGAAACUCGGUGGAGAUCAGCAAUGACAACGCCCCGAGUCAACGACGCGAGGCAUCACCUGCAUCCGUGUUGCCACAGCCACCACUUUAUGGACUUCGCAUUCAGAGGACGGCGAGGAAGAGUGUUCCUAUUCCAGGAAGGAUAGCCACCAACACAGCAGGACUUUGAACGACAGGACCUAGCGGGGUAGGACCCAGCGUUGCAGGACCGAGAGCACCCCCAACACAACGAGUCAUAGGGAUACCUGUCAGGCAGCCAGGUAUGACCCCGGAGGAGUCCCGGAGACUGCAGGCGAUGGCAGCGGGCCUACGCCACAGUCUCGCUGUGAUAGCUGGACAUCAGGAGGUAUUGGAUGAAGUGAUGACAAGGAUGGAAAUCAUGUUUCAGCAUUUGAUGGAGGCUGCUGACACUGCUAGUGCUGCUAGACGAGAGGCAGGUCAUGCGAUGACCGCAUAUUAUGUGCUUGGAGGGCUAUUACUGAUUGUGGUGUUGAUGUUUCUUGUUGGGAUAGCGAUUGGCAUUUGGUUCUGAUUUCAGUAUUUUAUUUUAUUUUGUCAUGAAAUGAAAACCCAUGUUGGGUGUCUUUUGGGAAAAACAUUUAAAACUUUAUGUUGGGAUUGAUGUAUUGAUUUGGUUUUAAGAUUAUUUCAAAUGGUAAUGAAGAAUUUUAUUUUAUGUUUGAAAACUUUUACAAUGAGGUCAAACCCAAGAAUUUAUUUAGUCAAUGGUUUAAUAAAAAAAAGAAUUUUCUUUUUUCUUUCCUUUCUCAAAUCUAUAUGCAUAGUAUUAACGCAACCCAUUAAUUUGACAACACUUAUCGUUUUCAAAAUAGUAGUGAACUAAAUAUUAUACAUUAUUUUAUGUAUUUAUACGUAUUUCUACUCUUGUGUCAUAGAACCAUGUCAGGAAGGCCUAAUCGCGGGCGCCCACAGAACGAAACACCCGAUGUUGCUCAAGNGUAGCCCAACAACUCAUGGAAGCAAUCCCAAACAUUGUUACUCAUGUAACUGCAGGACUUAAUGCUAACCAAGGAAGUAGUGGAGGAAACCGGGGAAACAAUGAAAGAGAAUGCAACUACAAGUCCUUUAUGACCUGUAAACCUAAGGAGUUCCAUGGAAAGGAAGGUGCGGUCGGGUUGCUGAAAUGGAUUGACAGCAUGGAGUCGGUCCUUCACAUUAGCAAAUGCCUCGAGCGCAACAAAGUUGAGUAUGCAUCUUGCCUACUCCAAGAUAGGGCAUUGACCUGGCGGAAUACCCUAGUGCAAACCCGAGGCUGUACAGCGGCAUAUCAACUAACUUGGGAAGACCUAAAGAAGUUGCUGAUAGAGGAGUAUUGUCCCAAGGAUGAACUUCAGGAGCUUGAAUCUGAAUUCUGGAAGACCUCUUCGUGUUUCUCUUCCCAGAGAAAUUUUCUGUCCUUUUGGGUCAAAGAUGUUAAUGGUGGAGCAAUCCUAGAGAAAUUUUCAAUGAAACGUCUGUAGUACCCAGCUAAUCCUAGGAACUGUCGUAUUUCUGUCGGGGUUUUGGGGGCUUCCCAUUUCUUGAUUGCCUCGAUCUUAGCUGGAUCUACAUGAAUUCCUCUUUCGCCGAUCACAUGACCAAGAAAAUGUACUUCCCGAAUCCAAAAUUCACACUUAGUGAACUUGGCAUACAAUUUCUGCUCCUUCAACAGCUCCAACACUAGCUUCAGAUGUCUAUUGUGAUCUUCUUUGGUUUGCGAGUAAACAAGUAUGUCAUCGAUAAAUACAAUUACAAACUUGUCUAGGUAUGGUCUACAGACCCUAUUCAUCAAAUCCAUGAAAACAGCGGGUGCGUUUAUUAGUCCAAAAGGCAUGACUAAGAACUCAUAAUGUCCAUAACGAGUUCUAAAUGCUAUUUUGUGAAUGUCCCCUUCGUGAAUUCUUAGUUGAUGAUACCCUGACCGAAGGUCGAUUUUUGAGAAGUAAGAAACGCCCUGCAAUUGAUCGAACAAGUCAUCUAUUCGAGGGAGGGGAUAUCGAUUCUUGAUUGUCAACUUGUUCAGUUCUCUGUAAUCAAUACACAUUCGGAACGACCCGUCUUUCUUUUUGACGAAUAACACUGGGGCUCCCCAAGGUGAAGAGCUUGGUCGAAUAAACCCUUUGUCUAGAAGUUCUUGAAGUUGUCUGGAUAGUUCUUGCAUCUUGGAUGGUGUAAGGCGAUAUGGUGCUUUUGCUACCGGUGCCGCUCCGGGAAUUCAGUCUAUCCGAAAUUCGACCUGUCUGUGAGGGGGUAAACCGGGCAAUUCCUCCGGAAACACUUCGGGAUAAUUUUGAACCACUGGAAUCUCCUUGAGUCGCUUAGCUUCAGGUUCUCUUUCUAGCACGUGGGCCAUGAAUGCAAUACAAUUCUUCUUCAGGUAUUUGUGAAUCUUCAUGCUUGAUACUAUGUUUAAACAUCUUCCUGGCUUCUCACCGUGUAUGAUAAGGGUUUCUCCAUUAGGGAGAGGUACUCUAAUGACUUUCUCGUAACAACCAAUGUCCGCUCUAUUUUUGGAUAACCAAUCCAUUCCUACUAUCACAUCAAAACUACCUAGCUCUAUAGGAAUUAGGUCAAUGCUAAAGAGUUUAUCAGCUAAAUUCAAAGUACAACCAGGAAUUAUAUCAUUAGCCCUAAUUUCAUACCCAUCAGCAAGUUCAAUAGCAUAAGCAUUCCUCAUCUUUCUCAAUUUCAAGCCAAUUAAUGGUCUAAAUGCUAAAGAAACAAAACUCCUAUCUGCUCCCACAUCGAAUAUUACUGAUGCAAAAUGGUUGUUCAGGAGGAACGUACCUGUUAUCACUUCAGGGUUCUGACGAGCUUCUUCUGCACCAAUCACAAAGGCUACACCUCUUGACCGUCCAACUUGAUUUCCUUGGAAGUUUUGCCUGGCUUGGCCUUGUCCAUUGUUACCAGGCNCAAAAUGGUUGUUCAGGAGAAACGUACCUGUUAUCACUUCAGGGUUCUGACGAGCUUCUUCUGCACCAAUCACAAAGGCUACACCUCUUGGCCGUCCAACUUGAUUUCCUUGGAAGUUUUGCCUGGCUUGGCCUUGUCCAUUGCUACCAGGCCCUUUGUUCAGUUUGGGACAUGCCCUGCGGAGAUGAUCAAUCAGUACUCCCGCACUCGUAACAUGCCCUUUUUCCCUCCUUAUUCAGCUUACAAUACUUCGAGUAAUGGCCUGUUUGUUUACAGUUUUAGCACAUUGGGCACGCUCCCUUGUGAUGGAAGUUACACUUAUUGCACUUCGGAAGCGGUCUUGAGUACUGCUUUCUCUCCUGCACUUCCAUGACUUCCUGUUCUUGAGUUUUCAAUGGUUCUUGCUCCUGGGCUCUUACCAUAAAGUUUCUUGAGACUUUCAGCUUCCUCCCUGACUUGGCUCCAUACUUCUUCUCUCCCUGAUCUGUUGGCUUCCUCUUGCUACUAGAGUUUUCCUUUGUCGAUGCUCCCAUCCUUAUCACAUCAUUGGUUAGUCGAUUUGCUAGACUUACUGCACUCUGAAUAGUAGAUGGAUUUGCUAAGGUAACCAUUCCCCUAAUUUCUGGUGCCAGACUCCAGAUGUAACGAUCUAUCCGUUUCUCCUCAGGAGUAACCAUGUGAGGUACCAGUUUUGCUAGCUCAUGAAAUCGGACUGUGUACUUCUCUAUUUGUGUUCCAACCAUAGAAUGGCUCCAGAAUUUAGAUUCACGCUCCUGAAGUUCAUCCUUGGGACAAUACUCCUCUAUCAACAGCUUCUUUAGGUCUUCCCAAGUUAGUUGAUAUACUGCUGUACGGCCUCGGGUUUGCACUAGGGUAUUCCACCAGGUCAAUGCCCUAUCUUGGAGUAGGCAAGAUGCAUACUCAACUUUGUUGCGCUCGAGGCAUUUGCUAAUGUGAAGGACCGACUCCAUGCUGUCAAUCCAUUUCAGCAACCCGACCGCACCUUCCUUUCCAUGGAACUCCUUAGGUUUACAGGUCAUAAAGGACUUGUAGUUGCAUUCUCUUUCAUUGUUUCCCCGGUUUCCUCCACUACUUCCUUGGUUAGCAUUAAGUCCUGCAGUUACUUGAGUAACAAUGUUUGGGAUUGCUUCCAUGAGUUGUUGGGCUACAACUUGAGCAACAUCGGGUGUUUCGUUCUGUGGGCGCCCGCGAUUAGGCCUUCCUGACAUGGUUCUAUGACACAAGAGUAGAAAUACGUAUAAAUACAUAAAAUAAUGUAUAAUAUUUAAUUCACUACUAUUUUGAAAACGAUAAGUGUUGUCAAAUUAAUGGGUUGCAUUAAUACUAUGCAUAUAGAUUUGAGAAAGGAAAGCAAAAAGAAAAAUCUUUUUUUUAUUAAACCAUUGACUAAAUAAAUUCUUGGGUUUGACCUCAUUGUAAAAGUUUUCAAACAUAAAAUAAAAUUCUUCAUUACCAUUUGAAAUAAUCUUAAAACCAAAUCAAUACAUCAAUCCCAACAUAAAGUUUUAAAUGUUUUUCCCAAAAGACACCCAACAUGGGUUUUCAUUUCAUGACAAAAUAAAAUAAAAUACUGAAAUCAGAACCAAAUGCCAAUCGCUAUCCCAACAAGAAACAUCAACACCACAAUCAGUAAUAGCCCUCCAAGCACAUAAUAUGCGGUCAUCGCAUGACCUGCCUCUCGUCUAGCAGCACUAGCAGUGUCAGCAGCCUCCAUCGAAUGCUGAUACAGGAUUUCCAUCCUUGUCAACACUUCAUCCAAAACUUCCCGAUGCCCAGCUAUCACAGCGAGACUGUGACGUAGGCCCGCUGCUAUCGACUGCAAUCUCCGGGACUCCUCCGGGGUCAUACCUGGCUGCCUGACAGGUAUCCCUAUGACUCGCUGUGGUGGGGGUGCUCUCGGUCCUGCAACGCUGGGUCCUACCCCGCUAGGUCCUGNNNNNNNNNNNNNNNNNNNNNNNNNNNNNNNNNNNNNNNNNNNNNNNNNNNNNNNNNNNNNNNNNNNNNNNNNNNNNNNNNNNNNNNNNNNNNNNNNNNNNNNNNNNNNNNNNNNNNNNNNNNNNNNNNNNNNNNNNNNNNNNNNNNNNNNNNNNNNNNNNNNNNNNNNNNNNNNNNNNNNNNNNNNNNNNNNNNNNNNNNNNNNNNNNNNNNNNNNNNNNNNNNNNNNNNNNNNNNNNNNNNNNNNNNNNNNNNNNNNNNNNNNNNNNNNNNNNNNNNNNNNNNNNNNNNNNNNNNNNNNNNNNNNNNNNNNNNNNNNNNNNNNNNNNNNNNNNNNNNNNNNNNNNNNNNNNNNNNNNNNNNNNNNNNNNNNNNNNNNNNNNNNNNNNNNNNNNNNNNNNNNNNNNNNNNNNNNNNNNNNNNNNNNNNNNNNNNNNNNNNNNNNNNNNNNNNNNNNNNNNNNNNNNNNNNNNNNNNNNNNNNNNNNNNNNNNNNNNNNNNNNNNNNNNNNNNNNNNNNNNNNNNNNNNNNNNNNNNNNNNNNNNNNNNNNNNNNNNNNNNNNNNNNNNNNNNNNNNNNNNNNNNNNNNNNNNNNNNNNNNNNNNNNNNNNNNNNNNNNNNNNNNNNNNNNNNNNNNNNNNNNNNNNNNNNNNNNNNNNNNNNNNNNNNNNNNNNNNNNNNNNNNNNNNNNNNNNNNNNNNNNNNNNNNNNNNNNNNNNNNNNNNNNNNNNNNNNNNNNNNNNNNNNNNNNNNNNNNNNNNNNNNNNNNNNNNNNNNNNNNNNNNNNNNNNNNNNNNNNNNNNNNNNNNNNNNNNNNNNNNNNNNNNNNNNNNNNNNNNNNNNNNNNNNNNNNNNNNNNNNNNNNNNNNNNNNNNNNNNNNNNNNNNNNNNNNNNNNNNNNNNNNNNNNNNNNNNNNNNNNNNNNNNNNNNNNNNNNNNNNNNNNNNNNNNNNNNNNNNNNNNNNNNNNNNNNNNNNNNNNNNNNNNNNNNNNNNNNNNNNNNNNNNNNNNNNNNNNNNNNNNNNNNNNNNNNNNNNNNNNNNNNNNNNNNNNNNNNNNNNNNNNNNNNNNNNNNNNNNNNNNNNNNNNNNNNNNNNNNNNNNNNNNNNNNNNNNNNNNNNNNNNNNNNNNNNNNNNNNNNNNNNNNNNNNNNNNNNNNNNNNNNNNNNNNNNNNNNNNNNNNNNNNNNNNNNNNNNNNNNNNNNNNNNNNNNNNNNNNNNNNNNNNNNNNNNNNNNNNNNNNNNNNNNNNNNNNNNNNNNNNNNNNNNNNNNNNNNNNNNNNNNNNNNNNNNNNNNNNNNNNNNNNNNNNNNNNNNNNNNNNNNNNNNNNNNNNNNNNNNNNNNNNNNNNNNNNNNNNNNNNNNNNNNNNNNNNNNNNNNNNNNNNNNNNNNNNNNNNNNNNNNNNCCUACACUCUUCCACUUCUCUCUUCACUCCUUCUCCAAAAAACUCUCCCACUUCCAAGACCACUCCUACACAUCAGAAAAUAUUCACUCUCUGCCAUAAUUUCGAAAUAGAGAAGGCCUUGAAGUGUUCUUGCUUCUCUCAAGAUCAAAACCAAGGUAAACAACACAAUCCUCCCUCAUAGUUUCAUGAUUUUACUUCCUCUUCUUCAUGGUUCUUCUCUACUCUUCGGAUUCUAUGCCUUUCCAUGGCUAGAAAUCCUUACUUUUUCCCUUGUGGUUUGUAGAUUCUCACCAUAACACAAUGCAUGUGUUUGAGAUGGUGAAAAUCUGGGAUCAAACCCAUGCAAGGAGUGAAAAAGAUGCACAUGUGUUCAUGUGACUUCAAAACCGAGUAUUACAUCUUCUUCUCCGUUUCUUUUGUGUUCUUGCAUGACCAAAAGCAUUUAAACCAUUUCUAGUACAUCUUGGAUGCUCAUUCACUCCAUGCAUGUGCUAUAAAUCGGACCUUAACAGAAGCAUGCAUGUUGUUCUUGUCAAAACGCCCUAAGAAUGCACUCAAAGCAAACAGGGAAGACAUGCAAUCUGCCAGACUACUUUGUUCAGCUUUGAACGGCCAUAACUCGGUCAUUACUUAUCCAAAUCCUGAUAUUCUUUUUGUAUUGGAUAGUUUCACGAGUUAACUUUCAAACCCAACUGGUCUCACUGUAAAAUAUUAAAUAUCGGAUUUUUGGCAAUUUUUACAAAAUGGUUGCGCGAACAGCUCUUUUUCUGUGAUCACCAUUUUUGCCUUGCGUGACCAGUGGCCUUAAACCCAACCAUAAAUUUGGGGAAAAAUAAUUUAGAAACUUAACAUAUCCAGUGAAUGAUGGCUGAAAUUUCGUGGCUUAAAACCCCACAGAAUGUGCUACUCAAAUUCAUGAAUUUCAGCCACAUUUACAUCUCAUGCACUAUAAUGUGCAACAUUUCUUAACUUGUUUGGGUUCAAUACCCCUAUUUUCCCUUCUGAAUAAAAUUUGAACAUUUUUCCUUUUGAAAGCCCUCACAUGCAUGUGAUAAUCUGGAAAAUUUCUAGAGCUUUUAUCAUUUCUUUGAUUUAUUAAAAUUAUUGCAAGAAACCAAGGACAUAAAUCACAUAAAAUACUUCCAGAGGUCUAUAAAUCCGGAAUAGAUUCAUGGAUGACCCCUAUGGUGAAUAAUGACCCCUCACUAAAUUUCAUCAAUUUUUGUUGCUGUUUGGUAUGAUUUCCGAUUUUCUUUUUGUUUGGGUAUAAUAAAUCACAAAACCACUUUAGAGAGUGUGAAAAUUGUAUCUAACAAUUUUCGCAGCCCUUACCUGUGGUGGGUGACUCAGAAAAACAAUUUCAAAUUUUUUUUGAUCAUGCCUUACUAUUUUUCUCCAUUUUUGGUAAUUAUAAUGGCCUAAAAAUAGGAAAAAUAGUUCUGAUUAUCCAAAAUUCAUGAAAAUUUACCAGAACAUCAUGUUGUACAGUAGGAGGUUACAUACAAAUUUUGAUGAUUUUUCUCUACUGUAAACUAUUUGUCUCCUAUUUUCUAAGGUUAAAUACACUGAAAUACACAUAAAUACCCAAAACCGGAUUAUACAAUAUGAAAACCACUUUUGGUAUUUUUUCCAGAUUAAUUACACUGUAAAUGAUGUUACAAAAGUUUUUGGUAAUUUAUUUUAACUGUUUAAUAUUAUUUCUUCAAUUAAUGAUUAUUUAAAGGAAUAAAACAAGGAAAAAUAGAAAUACCCACUGAAAAAUAUCUUUUAUAUUUUUCCCAGCCUAGUUAUGUAUAAUAACAGUCAAAUAAAAAAGUUUGGAUAAUUUUGGAAUCUGGUUUAUAUUUAUUUCAAUUUUUAUUGGAUUAAAUGCUCAAAAAUCAUAAAAUAUAAUUAAACAGCUUGGAAAUCCAUUUUUAUAUUAUUCCCAGCUUAGUAUUGUGUAAUAACAGUUAAAUAAAAAUUUUGAAAAUUUUUAUCCUUUGAAUGCUAUUUUUCGUGAAUUUAUGUUGUUAUAAAGACUUAAAACUUUGAAAAAGUGUAACUAAUUAAUAUAAAAUCCAAUACUAAAACAUAAAUUGGCAUUUCACUAUGUGUAGAGUUUAGUAUAUUAGCAUUAAAUUACGACAUGGAAACUCACUAGUGUGUGUUUGAUGUCAUAGGGUCCCGGUAGUAAGACAUUGGUGUAUCCCGAGGCACUACUUGUACCUACACGAAACAUUGUGAGUAUUCACGCACUCCCCUGUUUUCGGUUUUUAAAUGUUUUGGGGUGGAAAAACAUGUCCUACUACCUCAUAAAUCGCAUGCCCAGUCGUACUAUAGACAACUAAACACCCAUCACACAUCUUUUAAAAAUAAAACAUGGUUACUCCUUUCUAGGCAAUUUUGGUUGUGCUUGUUGGCCAAGUCUUAAAAAAUAUAAUUCUCAUAAUCUUGAGUUCCGAUCAAAAUUGUGUAUCUUUCUUGGUUACAGCUCAAUGAAUAACGAGUACAAAUGUUUAGAUAAAAGUAUCAGACGUGUCUAUAUAUCACGAGAUGUAAUUUUUGAUGAAUCUCUAUUCCCAUUUGCAAGCUCAUCCUCCUACACCUUACCAUCUUCUACAUCCAAAGUUAUGACGUUUUCUCAAUUUGAACUGAAAAUUUUAAUGAUCAUAUGAGAAAUUAUGACUUAUCUAUGUUAUUGUCUAACAAUUCUAAUGCACGUGUAGACCGUUAGCACCUAUUCGAAUUUUUGACACAACUAGCAAUGGUGGCUUAUAUGCAAAACAACCAAUACAGGUGAUUCCUGGACCAAAUCAGCAAGACUUUGAAAUCAAUUCUACUGAUGCGACAACCAUAACCACAAACAAAGUUGUACCCACUCAUACCACAAGAACCACUACUAAUGAUGACACCACAACAGAUGUUGUAGGUGAUGCCACAUCUGCUUUCGUUAAUGACGUCUCCCCACAUGUAUCCACUCCGUCUCCAUCAUUCAUCACAACGCAUGUUUGUGCAUGAAUUUUUCCUCAAAAUUUCAAUGAUGGAACCAUCUCCUAUGAUCCUAAUAGAUGCACUUUUUUGUUGUUAAUAACUUCGUAUCGGCUAGCCCUCUCUAAGCUAGCAUGUUAUAAAUCCAGGGAGGCUGAAUUUGAUGCACUCCAGGAAAAUAACACAUAGGCUCUUGUUCCUUGACCACUUGGUGUUAAUUUGGUUAGUUAUAAAUGGGUUUUUGUAACAUCUAAAAAUCAUGAUAAAUUUUUUCAAGUUAAUUUAAAAGAAACCAUUGCUUUCAACCCAUAACUAUAUCAAAUCAAAUGUCAAAUACAAAUAGUCCCCAAGAUCAGAACAUCAUAAAAUCUCCCAAAAUGUAUCUUCGAAGGAUGCGUACGAUCACACCUUUGCCUUGCCACGAUCAUUUGAAGUACCUGAAACAAUAAACUGAAACUAUAAGCCAAAGCUUAGUGAGUUCCCCUAAAGUACCACAUAACACAACUCANGUACAUUUCCCCAAAUUACCACCACACAAACAAAUAACAUAUACAAUAAUGCAUGUUGGGUCCACAAUCUCCCAAUUGGCUUGACCUGGCCCACAACUUCCGGUUGGAUUGUGUUGUAUAUAUAAUGUACUAGUUCCACAACCUCCCGAUUGGAUUAUCAUGCCCCACAAGCUCCCGGUUGGAUUUCCCUAGCCCAUAACCUCCCGAUUGGAUUGCCUCGGGUUUGAUAAAUAACCGCACAAUGAAGUACAGUCUCAACCUAUGCUAUAAAUAGCGCGUUAUAGCGGUGCUAUAGCAGCAUUAUAACGUUUUUGCGGUGUUACUGAACCGCUAUUUUGAAAGAGCGUUUACGAAUAGCGGUGACGCUAUUAGCGGCGAUAUUGACCGCUAUUUACCGCGAAUCUCAUCAGCGCUAUAGCGGCGCUACAACCGCUUUUACAUUUUCGUACAUAUUGGGCUACAUUGACAAAGAAAAAAAACGAUUGUGUGUUAUUUCAAUAUUAAAUCUUUAUUUUUUUUAACUAGUUCACUAAACUUUUUUUCUUAAUAAGUCCAAAUAAUGAAUAUAAAUAAUUACAAACUACAAAGCAACAAAUGACAACUUCCCUUUCUCAUCUUUUUCAGUACCUAGAAACCACGAAUGACUUAAGCUGCGAUGACAUUUUGACACUUUCUAGUUUCCAUAUUAGUAUAUUAGAAUAUUAUAUAUAGAAUAUGUUAUGUUCUUAUAUGAUUUUUAUGAUAUUAAUUCUACAUAGUAUUCAUAAUCUAAUAUAUAAAGUUUUUAUAAAUAUAUAAUAUAAAAUAUACAUAAAAUUAAGAAACUGCUAUACCACUGCUAUACCACCACGAUAACCGCGAUUUCAAAUAGCGGCAUGUGACCGCUAUUGAAAUUUCAACCGCGAUAACUGCUUAGGUCUCAAACCAACCAUAUUAUGUCGACAUAUAACAUAUAUUCAAUAAACAGAUAAUCAUAUAAUCAAUCAAUAGACUCACAGGCGGAUUUACAAAUCAUGACCUCAUAACUACAUCCUAUAUACUAGGACUUAGUUCUAUAAGAUUAAUAUAACAUACCAACAUCCUCAAAACCAGUAUACAUAACUUAGUGGGCAGGCAUUCAUAACUUAGUGGGCAGGCAUCGGUGCCUUCGACCCACAAGUAUAGUGAGGAAACUCACCUCUCAUUCUGAAAAGAGCGUUGAACAGGAUAUAAAUCUAAAUGUUAGUUCAACCGGUCACCUAAUCAUCAAAUAAUGACCAAUCUCAAAUACCACUAAAAAUACCCACAAUACCCUUAGGUCAGACUUAGUCAAACCCUGUUCAAGGUCAAAGAGUCAAAAAGUAAACCGAUUUGACUCAAGCUGAGUUGUCCCGAUGUACUCAACUAUUAUGCCCAAUGUACUCAUUAUUCAGCAUCGAGGGCUUAAGGGAGUACGCACAAUGUACUCUGAAGUACGCCCAACGUACUCCGCAGCCAACUUUUCCCUUUUUGACGGGCUUAAUCCAUUAAUACUCUUCCUUCCAAACACAGAUCUAGGCUUAAAACAAUGCUAUUAGUCAUAAAGUUUCCACCUUUAUGACCCUCCAUGGCUAGACAAGGCCUCAAAGCUAAAACCCUAACUUCUUAUCCCAUUAAGACAUUUCAAUACUUGUGUGGAGGGAAGGAGGUCCAAGAUCACAUUUUAUCACUCAAACUACCCAAAAACGUACAAAGGACAACUCAUUUGGUCAGGGUGGCUCAUACCCAAAUGGACCAAGAUUAUGGGGCUAAUAAGCAUAAACAUCUAAAAUAUCUAGAUCUAGGGGUAUGAUCAUCAAGUUCAGAACUUUAUACCUCAAAAUGAAACUUGGAGGUGAGGUGUUUCAGGAUCUAAGUGAUAUUGAUCAUCCAAGGUGGUUCUUUAAUCUUUACUCGGCUUCAAAGACACCAAAACCCACACUUUCAAGCUUCAAAUGAACACACAAGAGAUUUGGGUUUUCUAUGGACGAAAUGAGGGAUGGAGGCUGAUGAGGGAAUGAGCCUUGGUGAGUUAAUGAUGUUUGUAUAGGGUCCAAACCAGAGAUGUUAUGGUUUGAGGUUCUGGCGGCACGUACGCCCAACAUACGCGAGCUCCGCCCAAAAAAUUACAAAAAUGCCACUUUGGGACAUUGUGUAACAAUUUCUCACACAAGGGCUAAAAUGUAAAUAGUUCUCAUACUUAGGGUUAAAAAUGGAAAUACCUCAGCUUCAUGAUAUUACAAUUUUCAAGCUUAAAGACAUCUAUACGGUACUAUUGAAAAGCUUAAGGCACGUCUAGUGGCUUAUGGUUCCAUUCAACAAUAUAAUAUUGAUUAUCAAGAAACUCUCAGCCCAUUCGUGAAACCUGCUAGCGUUUGAAUUCUCUUAUUGGCAGUUUCUCGAGGUUGGUAUCUUCAAGAGAUUGAUGUCACCAAUGCCUUUCUUCAUGGGUUAUUAAAUAAAGAAGUAUAUAUGCAGUAAUCACCAGGAUUUGAAGAUUCUCAACGACCUCAAUAUGUGUGCAAAUUAAAGAAGGCAAUUUAUGGUCUAAAAUAAUCUUCACGUGCCUAUAUAUAGGAAAAUAUUAUGAGUAGUGCCAUUACUCUUCAUCAACACAUGAGUAUCAAUAAUGGAUCCACUCUUGAGAUUCAUUUCAUCUUUGUCAGCUUUAACAUUAGGAUUCCAUACUAUUGCAAAACCAUUAAUGAUUGUAACGUCCGCAUUUCUCGCUAAGCAUAGUUAUGAGUCUGUAUAUAUGUUGUUCGCCGAUUGGAACCUCUAUGAAUUAAUGAAAGAGAGUUAUAUAUAUAUAUAUAUAUGUGUGUGUGUGUGUGUGUGUGUGUGUAUGUGAAUUUUAUAGAUAUUACAUGUAUAUAAUAUUUAUGUAAAACGCUAAUUUGAAGCUUAAAUGAAAAAAGUCUAAAAUAGAAAUUAAAAAUAAAAUAUUAUUUAAGAUAAAUGAUCAAAAAAUUGUAGUAAUAAAAAAAGCAAAUUUGUGCAUAUAAAAAACGCCUAAAUCUGAAUUCGUGUGAGGAAAUUAUAAUUUUUGAAGUUUCAGCGUAACAGUGUGUGACACAGAAACCAAAAUUAAAAUUAGACGAUUGUUAGGAAAAACAAUCUAAACGACAAUCGAAGAUCUCGUGAAUAGGAAUCCAUCGAUUUAAAAACAGUCUAGAACAGAGGUCGUAAGAGAGACUUAUGAUUUUUAUGUGGACUUUAACAGUCUAAGCAUGUUAAAAAUAUAACUUUAAAAAUAAAUUGAGAAUUAUCUAAUGGAUUCUAAAUGAAAGUUGUAGUGCUUAUCGAUAGCUACAUGUGGAUAUAAAGAAUGUCAAAAACGGAGCCCGUAGAAAGAAUAUAUUAAUAUUUGAAAAAAAUCGCAUGUGCCGACACGGUGUGCGAUGAACACUAACAACCCACCCAAAAUUUGACACGUGACGACCUCUGACUAGAACCACGCCAACACCCCUGACCAGAUGCAUGACAUGCCUAGACAAGGUGCACGACAUGCCCCUUUUCCCAACUAUACAUUGGAGUCGUUUUCAGCCUAUUUCUUCACUCCUUUCUGCCCCAAUCCUCUGGAAUCUCUUCCACCCCCUAGUCCCUAUACUUUCUAGUUCUCAACUACUUUAGCGAGGCCCCGCGAUAUCAAAGAGCCAGAGAAAUAGAAGUUCUCAGGUUGCACUUAACCCUGCGCAAUUACCAACUCUCAUUAGAAAACUCUAUAAGUUAAGUUGCAUGCACUUAUCUUAAUUCAAGUGUAACAUUUUCUAAACGUUAUUAUGAACCUAUAAAUAAGAUUUAUUAUUGAUUCCAAAUCAUGAUACUGAUUGAUCUGGAAGAGAGGAGAUGACUCUAAUGUAAAUUGGAUCAUCUCUUGCUUUGAGAACUUUCUUUCGGAAAUUCUUAAUGGUUUCUAUCAUACUGGUUGGGAAGAACUUUAAUUCUUGCAAAUUGCAGCUUGGAUAGAUGUUGUCUAUUAAUCCUGCCGAAAAGGCUUGUUGGAUUAAUCUUGGAUCUGCUCCUUCAAGGAAGUUGUACAGACUUUUGGUUUUCUUAUCUGUUGUGAAAAAUCUUUUGUGGAUAAAAUCUUUUGGGCUUUCCGCUCUAGCUUUACUCCAGAUUGUUCUGAAAUCUUCAAAGGAGAUUGCAGGGUUGUUGACUUCAUAUUCGACGUCAUUUGGGAUAUCAGCUCUUUGGUAUCUGUGUUCUUCUUUGAUCUUCUGGACUUUCGGCUUUAGAAGAGGUUUUUUGGUUUGAUUGGCUUCGUCAUUGAAGGUGGCAAAACUAAGUCGUGCACUUGUUUCAUUUCUGAACUUCUUGCAUGUUACUUUAUCGACCUUACAUAAGGUUUAUGUAAUUCCCCAGUCUGUAUGUAUUCCGGCGUGUGGCUCAAAAGACAGACUUAGGUAGCUCAAAAGACUCCUAGAAGAUUGAUAUCUUUAGGAAGGAGAAAAAAUGAAAGAAAAAGUCUCCGAGCAACUCGAGAAAUAUUUCUUUAAUCUUCAGUAUGAAGACUAUGAUAAACUUGACCAAAAACUCAUUCAACUUUCAUCCUUGGAAACUGAAGAAUGCGAAGAACUAUAUCAAAAAGAGCCACAACUUUUUGAUCAAUACUUUAAAGUAGCCAAAGUAAAUGAACCUGGUACCGAAUCAGAACAAGAAGAAAAUCCUAACAUAAACGCUGUCAAGUCUACUUACGGGAGUGAUGUCUAGGCUGGAUUUAGUGAGGUGUUUAAAGUGAGAUUUCCAAAAAGUAUACUUUGUAUACCAAACAGGCCCUAUCUCUGAUAUGAUCCUACCUGGUUAUUCCUUACUUGAUAGAUCUUGAUAUAGACAUCGGUAUUCUUGAGGAAUCUAGACUAUCAUUAUUAUAGUCACAAGAAAUGUGAAACUAAACUAAGACUUAGCACUAUAUAAAUCUAGGUUUAUUGAAAGGAUAAGGUGAUAGGUGAAGCGCUGCCCUAACCUCAAACCACCCACCCUUGUCAGGUGAGUGUAUAGUUACUUUCAAGUGCAUAAUUUAAUAAAAGUCUUUAUUAAAUGCUAAUUGUAAUAAUUAUACUAUGUGUUAUUUGUAUAACAAUAAUAGUACUGCUUGAUUAGGAUUUGUAUUGGAAGUAGAAUGACUUUAACUAUAGCCUUGUUUAGCUAUGAAAAUAAGGCUUAUAAAGGAUGCCUAGCUCAAAUUAAGCAGAAUGUCGAAUAGGUCUCAUCCUGGGGUAGAGUGUGAGAUCAAUGCGAAGUGUAGUAGUCCUCCUCUUUUUGGAUGACGAGAAAUGGUUGGUCCAGAUCAAACAACCGACAGGUACGUUUUGGUCAUCGAUCAGAGUGGAUGACAAUACUUGACUAGUCUAGGCGGUCUAUUGAAUUACGUUGCUAAUGUGUAGUCAAACAGUUGCUCAGAUGAUUAAUCAGGUAAGGUGAUUCUUUUAGAUGGCCGUCGGAUUAGGAUUUGUGAAAAUCGAUUGAGCAAGGUAGAUGAUCUUACAUCAGAUUAUAUACAUCUAUAUUAUUUGGCAAAUGUUUUUUUUGCAAGAAUGUUAUUAUGAAUUAUUAUCAUUAAAAUAUUACGAGCUUGAAAACCAAUGCAUCUCACUAGGUUUCCUAAACCUGACCCACUCAAUUUAGAUGUAUCACAAUUCACAAGUAACGAAACUAAGGAUGCUGGAAACUAAUUAUGAUGCUGAGUAAAAUAAGAGAUGAACCUAUAUUAGUAUUUUAGGACCUUCUUAUUUAUGUUGUAACGUAUGUUUGGAUAUUAAUUGUGACAUCAUUGGUAUUUUUAAUAUAAUGAAAUAACUUAUGUUAUCUCAAAAAUGUUUUAAUUAAACUUAGAUUUUCCGCAACACAAUAACUUAAAGCGUAAAUAAAAAGUUUUAAUGUAACACCUGCAAAAUUCACGCCAAUUUAAAACUUUUCAAAACAUUUAAAACCAGCAGUUAUUACAAAUUCAUUUUCAGAAUAGUCUAAUAUCAGAGUUUUCCCAGAAACAUAAACAAAACAUGAGGAGCUGUACGAUCAUGCCUUCGCCUUGCUGUGAUCCCCUGAUGUACCUGAAACAAUAAACUGAAACUGUAAGCAAGAGGCUUAGUGAGUUCCCCCCAAAAUAUCAAUACACUGCACAUAACACAUAUACAAAUAACAGCAUGUGCUGGGUCCACAACUCUACAGACUGGAUUACCCAUGGGCCCACAAUGUGAGUCUAGAUUGCCUUCCGGGCCCAUAGCUCACAUCUGGAUUGCCACCGAGUCCAUAGUACGAGUCUCCCUCAGCUCGUAUCUGGAAUGCUCCUGAUCCCACAAUACGAGUCUGACAUGCCCCACCUGGCCCUCAGCUCGUAUCUGGAAUGCUCCCGGGUUUGUUGGUUACUGCACGGAGCAAUAUCACCUCAACCCACCCCACAUAAUAUGUCGACAUAUAACAUAACUAAGACGCAUACAGAUAAUCACGUAAUACUAUAGGUAGUCCUACAUAUCUACCUAAUUGGCAUAACAACUAGAAUGCAACACUAACUCAUACUCAACAUACUAUCAACUUGUAGGAAAUCAUAUCCCAUGGGCCGACCUUGGUGCCUUCGACCAUUUAGUAUAGUGAGGUAACUCACCUCGCAAGUAGUGCUGAAAUACUACAAAUCUCUGGCUGCUGUCUCACCGGGAAUCCCGAAUUGUCACAUAAUAAUAAAUACCAGGUUAAUACCUAACAUUACUCCCUUGACUAAGUGUCCUCAUAACUCAUUAAGUCCAUUCCCUUUUGUUGGGCCAAAACCCAACACCAAGUCCUUAACUUGACAGUCCAUAUACAUAAAUCCAAUAUUGGCCCAAUUUACUAAAUUGGGCCCAACCUCCUUAUUGGGCCUAACCCCAUGAUCCACUACCGCCAAUUGGCCCAAAACAUCUUAUUUACAAAGUUCAGCAAAGGCCCAAAUCUAGUUAGUCCAUAAAUAGCCCAAAACCUGAAGCCCAUUUGCCAAUGGCCCAACGGAGGACGUACGCGGGGCGUACUCCUCUGGUACGUGGGGCGUACUCAUCCAGACGUUGACCACCAUCGGGGUGGUUGACCCAGUACGCUGGCCGUACUGGAUUUACGCUGGGUAUACUGGACAGUUUGCCAAAACCUUGUUAAGUGCUUAAUGGCUUAAGCACUUAAGCCCAAACUUCAGAUCCAGAGAUCUAUCAUGCCUAGGAUCCAUAAAGUCGUGAACUUUAUCACUUUGGACAUCCAUAAAGUUCUAAAUGCUUGGUCUUAAUCCAUUAAGACCUUAUCCUUCCAUGCAUGGGACACCUUCAGCUAAUGGGACCUCAUUUUUAUCACUCAAGGUCCCUUCAAGAGUCUAGAAGGACAGUCCUUUUCGUUCAAAACACAACAUGCACCACCUUGUGAUUUUUGGGACAAGAAAUGGGUCUUUUAAAGCAAAAUGGAGAGAUCUAAUCAUAUAAACAUAAAGUUUGGAACUUUAUACCUUCUGGAGCUUCUUGGGGCUUCUUGUGCACGAGCUAACUUCAGAUUUACUAGCUUGGUUUCUUCCUUCAACUCUUUGAUGCAAUGGUUUCCUCUUAAGGCACUCAAGAACACACCAAAAUGAGCUUAACACACAAAGGGGAGGCUAGGGUUUGAGAGAGACGAGUUUGAUCUGUGGAGGCUGGGGUAAAAGAGGUGUUGGUGCACAUUAUGUUGCUUAUAUAGGCUCCAAACCCUAAAUAUUAGGGUUUCACCCAGAUAGUAGUACACCCAACGUACUCAAGUGUACGCCCAUCGUACUAAGGAAAACCUUAAUACGCUUAGCGUACUCUUAUGUACGCGCAACGUACUCCUUUUUGGCCCAAGUUUGCAAACUUGAUCCUUAAACUUAUCUUGGCUCUUCACUUCCAACCCCAAGCACCAUAAAUGACAAGGUAAUGAUAGAAGAGGGUUCAGGAAUACCUACUAAAUUCUCGGGAUGUUACAUUUAAUUCGUUCUGAAAUUUUGGGGAUGUAACAACGACGUCCUUAGUUUCCAACAAUAACUGAUCAACAAGUAUUCCUCUGUUUUUUAACCUAAUUUUCCCUUUUGAAUUUGUAAGUUUGUAAACAUUUUUUUGAAGCCGUAAUAAAGGUAUUCAACGAUCUAACACUACACUUCUAAGUCUAUAUACAAAUGUUGAUUGUGCUGGAUGUCUAGAUUAUCGCAGGUCUACCGGAGGUUUUACUGUAUUUCUAGGGCCAAAUUUGAUUUCUUGGAGUUCUUGCAAGGAACCCAUCGUAUCAAGAUAAAGUACAGAAGUUGAAUACAAGGAUCUUGCAAAUGGUACAACAGAAGCAACAUGGGUGCAAUCUUUUCUUAAAGAAUUGGGAGGUCAAUAGUUACAACCACCAAUAUUAUGGUGUGAUAAUCUAGGAGCUACUUAUCUAACAGUCAAUUAUGUGUUUCAUGCACGUACGAUACAUAUAGAAGUGAAUUCCAAUUUUGUCAGAGAGAGUUGUAAUGGGCGCUCUUGAUGUUCGUUUUAUAGCCUCUAGUAAUGGUAGGUAUCAGAUGGAUUCAUAAAGCCAGCAACUUGGAACAUGUUAGAUUGUCUGAGAUACAAUUUGGACCUAAUCGCGGUUAAGACUGGAGGGAAUGUAAACAUGGUACUUAAUGUUGGUGAUUUUAGUGUCACCAUGUCAUUUUAAGUAACUGGAACUAACAUGUGAGCUAAGGGGCUUCAUAAUUUGUAUUCUAAUAUAUGUACGAGAUUGUGUGGAGUGCACGCAUGUAUAAGAUCGAAUUAGAAGUCUGUUCGACGACUAGUCGGGGGUCCGGGGGCAGCGUCCUUGGGUCCAGGGUUUCCAAAGGGAUAGCGCCCCGCCCCUAGCGGGGUCCAAGGGGUAGAUCCCCUGGCUCGAAACAUAGUGGAAAAUUCAAUUUCUUAAGGGUGAUUAUGGUAAAACUAACGAAACUCGUUAGUUUUGGUAACCUUAAAUCCUCAUUAAAUCCGGAUUGUUAUGACUUGCUUCCAUAGCAACUAAUGACGGCCCAACCCUAAUGAAACCCUAAUCUCAUUUAAUAUAUAAACAACUCUUCCUCUUCAGAAGUGGGUUACAAUCUUAAGCUCUCGUUUUUCAUCAUACUUUCACAAAAUUCUCUAGCAUAUUGGCUUAUGUUGUGACAACCCAGAAUUUUCAUUCGGUCAAACCCUAAAAGUCAAUAACUUCAUAUUAUAAGUAAUGUUCACUUUUACUUGUUUUUAGGAAAAAUAAGUUCAUUUGAUUAUUUUAAUAAUAAAUCUUUAAAACGAACGGGUGAACGGAUGUGCCGUCUCGGGUCUCGAAUUUUCUAAACCGCGAAUGCCACGUAGCUUAGAAGUUCACGACCAAAAUUUUAUGUUUGGGUCAUAAACUACCCCCAAAAAACGUAAACUCAUGCCUUAAGCAUGAGUUUACUCCCCAAAGUGCAACACUUUUCAUUUUCACCCUAAAAGAGUAAACUCAAAACACCCUCAAGUAUCAUCCAAGAUUUAAUUCAAGAUCUUCAAACUUGUAAGUGUUCUAGCCAUUUCAAGUUGGUAUAACACUUAAUCUAGUGAUUGUACAUCUUUUCAUCAAUCCAUUUUUGUGUUUUGAUUAGAUUUCCAAAAACACCAAGAACACACACUAAGUGUUCUUGGACUUUUAGCUCAUUUCAAGCUUCCUUAUAGUAAGUACUUCCAUCCUUGAGUCUUAUUAAGCUUGUAUUACAUGUUAGCAUCAAAGAAAAGUCCCAAGAACACCAAGAUCAAGGUGUUCACGGUUUUGGGAGGCUCCUAAAACCGUAAACACCAAAUAUGGUGCAAAGUGGUGCCUUAGAGUGCCUAGAUGCUUCAUAAUGCCUAAGGGACUUGUCUAGAUUCAUCCUUGAUGAGUUUAUCACACAAAAAGCACCAAAACCUUACAUUUUUAUGUGUUUACGGUUUGGGGAUCUCCCAAAACCGUAAACACCCCAAAAGGUGUAUAAAAGUCCCAUAAAAGUCCCAUGGUUAUUCCUUAUGUCUAAAUCUAACCUAGACUAUUGCCAUGAUUGAGCUAAGGACUUGAAAACCCCCAAAACCAUAAACUUAUGGGUUUAAGGUAGUAAACUCAUGAGUUUAAGGUAGUAAACUCAAAGGAAAACGGUAAAGGGACCGUAGUGAAAUGGUGCCCUAGAUCCUUUCAAAGGCCUAACCACCAAGUAGAAAUGCUUCAAAGGACUUGUAAAACCUCAAAACAACAUAUGGUCAUAAAAUGUAGAGUUUAAGACUGUAAACCCUUGAGUUUACUGCCGUAUACUCCUUGGGUAAUGGUCAUUAAAACCGUAAACUCCAGAGGAGUUUACCCUUGAACUCCAAACACUCUAGCUUUGCCCUACAAACACUUGGAUGCAACCCUUGUGAUCUUUAACACUUGAAACAAAGUGUUUUCAUGUUCUAGAGUGUCCCAACUUAAUUUAUUAGUUAUAAAUUGGCUAAUUAGUUAUAUAUAUGUUCAUUAUAUGAUAACUAGGCUCGUGCGUGUGUACAAGUCUCCAUUUGUCACCUAGCACCGUAUCCGACACUUCAAUCCAAUCCACUCACUGCAAGUGAGUUCAUACCCAUUUAACUAACCUUUGAAAUACUUUUAAAUGUUUUAAAUGCUUUUAUGGGGGGAGGGGAAUACAAGUUGAGUACUUAUAGUUAUUACAUCAAUCACAUGUGAUUAAUAACUACAAAACCAAUGAUUUUUCUUACUAUUCAAACUGUUUAUCAAACUGUUUUGCUUCAAACUGUUUAUCAAACUCUUUUACUUAUCAAAUACUUUUACUUAAACUCUGUUAUACUUAUUAUCAAUUACAUGUCCAUGUAUGUAUAGUUAUAUAAGCAAUGUUUAAAAGGCUUAGGAAAGCUUGCCCGCCCUAUUUCCUUUUCGCGCUUGAGAUGUGGUCUGGUGGGAUAUCGGGUGUCCGUCCGAAGGUCGUUUAAAUAUUAUUUAUAUAUCAUGUAUACAUAUAUAGUCAUAAAAGGUCCUUCCAGUCAAAUUCAAUACCCUUGGGUAGCAAGGGUAUACUUCCAUAUUCAUACGUACAAGUUAUAUUACUAGUAAACUACAAUAGGCGUAGUUUAGGGUUUUACUAAUACUAAUACAAGAACAAUGAAUCAUACAAAGAGUCAGUUCAUUCAUGAGUCAUAAUACAUAGCGAUGAGAAACAAACAUAAUACAGGUGGAUUGAGGCUCGGAGGGUGCACCAGGCCGACUGAAGGCCCGGUGCGCACAGACCAGUCAUACUGUAGACUCAGAGAGUGGACCGGGUGAAUUGAAGGCUCGGAGCGGGCGGACCAGUCACACAGUAGACCCGAAGUGUAUGGCUGUUCUGUGUUCUGAUAUGAUAUGCCAUGAUAUGCGAGUAUGGUAUAUGUGGUUGGUAUUCUGGGGGUAUCUCACUAAGCUUUCGGGCUUACAGGUGUGGUUUAAUGUUUUCAGGUUAUUCAGGAGACCGUGGCAAGGCAAAGGCGUGAUCNUUUAUGAUGUGAUUCUGGGAAAACUCUGAUAAUAAUUGUAUUGAAAACCUUUUUGUAAUAACAUUAAGAAAAUGGGUUGUUUUUGAAAAGUUAUAAUUGGUUGAAUUUUUAUGGUCGUUCGGUGUUCCUCUAGGAGUGAGGAUUGAGCGUUUGUUAUGUAUGUUUUUCACUAGGGUGUUGUGGUAGUACUUCAUACAAAUAUGGGUAGGUGUGGAAGGUAGUAUGGGCCCGUACUACUAAAAGCACAGGACCCAUACGCGUAUCAGGGAAACCAUGACCUCUAGGGUUGGGUUGAGAGUUGGUUCCCAGGAUAGUGGGAAGUGUCUGAGAUUUUGUGGUGUUUUUCAGUAUGGUGGUCACGAGGCAUGCUGGGAGCGGAUCCGGGUCAGGAUCAGGAGCCGGAGAGGGCGGUCAGGGUGGGCGGUACCGCCCGAGGUUAUUGGUCAAAUGAGCACAGAUGAGUUGGAUGCUAGGAUUCAUGAGAUCCUGCAUGAUGAGGUUGCUGCGUUGUUCCGGGCCGAGCUUCCGGAACUGUUUGGGUUGAUCAAGACCGCCAUGGUUGAGUAUUUUGAUGAGCGCUAUGCAGCUCUCACUGAGAUGGCUGUCGCGGCGGCUACAACGGCUGUAGCAGCGGCAGGGGGAGGAGCNNNNNNNNNNNNNNNNNNNAGGGGGGGGAGCCAGUCGAGGUUUUCAGUAUCAGGACUUUGAUAAUACGAAGCCUCCUACCUUCGAUGGGAUGUAGGACCCGAUUGUUGCUAUGAGAUGGUUGUCGGACGUGGAGGGGUGUUUCUUCACGUGUUCAUGCCCUGCUGAUCAGAGGGUGAGGUGUGCUCUGAACCUGUUGAGGCUCGGGGCGAAGGAUUGGUGGAGAUUGACCACGGGGUCAUAUUCGGAUGCGCAGAGGGCUGCGGUUUCAUGGGAUCAGUUCAGAGAGAUGUUCANNNNNNNNNNNNNNNNNNNNNNNNNNNNNNNNNNNNNNNNNNNNNNNNNNNNNNNNNNNNNNNNNNNNNNNNNNNNNNNNNNNNNNNNNNNNNNNNNNNNNNNNNNNNNNNNNNNNNNNNNNNNNNNNNNNNNNNNNNNNNNNNNNNNCCCCGGUACAGUCGCAGCCGGUGCCGAAACGGUCCAAGACCGUUGAUUCUAGGGUGGGAGAUCAGAGCAGCCACACUUGUGGGAAGUGUGGGAAAGGUUACACUGGAGUUUGUAGGUCCGGUGGUGCAUGUCGCAAGUGCGGAAAGGAAGGGCACUAUGCGAGGGAUUGUCAGCAGUCAGCCCUGGUUCGGGAUUUGAGGAUUUGUUAUCAUUGUCAUCAGGUUGGGCACUUGAGGGUCAACUAUCCACAGCUUGCUGCAGGACCGGUGCAAGCUCCAGCACCGGCCACUUUGAGGAUCACGGGUGGGGGUCAGGGUGGAGCGGAGCCCCCAAGGGCUCAGGGUCGUGCUUUUCAGCUUACAGCAGAGGAGGUCAGAGAAGUGCCAGAUGCAGCUGCGAGUAUGUUUCUUUCUUGAUGUCUUGUUAUCUUGUGAUUAUUGUGGAGUAUUGUUUAUCUUCUAGUCUCGUUGUGUUGUUUUCGGUAUGGUAUUCGUUGUUCUUUGAGGUUUAUGGUAUGGUUAUGGGUUUAGUAUUCAGAAUUUCGUUGGUUAUCAUUCAUGAGGGUUAUUAGUGGAAAUCUGGCGUCUGGUUUGAAUGUCGGGUAGCAUCUGCAUUCUGAAGAGUGGUUAGCUGAAGAUCGAGUUUCUUUCGAGCUCGGGUUGAUCAGUGUUGAUAUGUGAAAUUGUGAAGGUUGCUCGUGCUAGCGGGACGCAGUUCGCGCGUCAGUGAUUGUGUUGUGCCAGGUUGUUGAGAGAAGUCGGUGAUGGCGACNUCAGUGCUAUAAGUGGGGGAGAAUUGGAAAAUUCUUCGGAAGAUCGAUGAGCAUGUGAGGUUAUUUAGCUGCUUGGGAUUCAGUAGUGUCUCUGUCAGCCAAGAGCGUGGGCUGGUAUGAGUAGGUGGCAGGCAUGCGGGGCGGGAUACAUACCAAGGGUAUUCGAUUCUGGAGGGCCUGGGAUCAGGCCGGGAUUGAGUAUGUAGGAUGGAGAUAGAGUUCGGAACCCCUAGAGGGCUAGAACAGUAUGCAUGGGGGAGUCUCCCGGAAGGAUAACUCGGAAUGAUGAAUGCUAGUUGAGCGGGAUAGACUGAAGGCCGGUAGGCAUACCAGUCAGGCCGAAGGCUCGGAGGACGGUCCAGCCAGACUGAAGGCCCUGGAGGGCGGUCCAGAUCUGCUGAAGGUUCUGAGAUUGGUCCAGAUUGGUUGAAGGCCUGGUAAGGCAGUCCAGUCAUGCUGAAGACUCUGCAUGUGUUGAUAGAUCUGUUUGGGGAUUUGGAACGAGUAUGUCGCGAUGUGAUAACAUUAGAAGGUCUGGCCCCGGGUAUUGAUCUCGAUUAAUGGAGUUAGUGCAUGGACUCGAGAGUCCUUGCAAGCAGAUUCAGAGCAUGUGUGUUACAUGGAUAGCGGUUAUGCUAUAGGGGAGUGGUGUAGCGGUGGGCGAGCACCGUGGCACUUGUCGUAGUGACAAGGCGGCCAAGUGGAUUUCCUUGGUAAAGAAAGAGAGAGGAAUGUAGCUCCGAGAGGGAGUGUAACUUCACGGAAGUGAAAGCGGCAGUGCAGAGUUAUGAUUGGAGUGAUCCAAUUAUGGUCAUUGAGCAGCGUGAUUGCGGCAGUGGUAUGGAAUCACAUCCGGAUGGGAUGUCUGCUGAGGUUGCAGAAGGAAUUUCGCGGGGGUAGAGCCAAGAGGCUCAGAAGGGAUGCAGGGAUGGAGUCUUGGAUUCCCAGUUUGAUUCCGAUCAAGGAAUUGUGUAUGUAGUGGUGAUUCAUCCUGGGGGAUGUUUGGAGGUGUCGUAAGUGUGACGGGUUUUCCCAACCCGAGGGUGCUAGAGCUAGUUCAGCAUGUGCAUGCGAUCGCAAGAGGAGAACUCUUGGGAGUUGCUCUGACGCUGAAGAAUGUGUCAUUCUGUCAGCAUGGAAUGGAUAGAGUGGGACUCGGAUCGGGAACUCGGUGGUGCAGGGUUAUAUCCAGCUCGUAAGAGUCAAGUGAUUGUUGUGAUCAGGAUCGAGAAAAGUGCCAUGGAGUGGUACUCGGUUGAUAAGUGUAGUAUCUGAUAAGUGUGGUUAUCAAAGGGUGAAGUUGGUGGCCGGCUUGAGGCGGUGGUCAGAACACCGCAAGAAAAGGGAAAGUUGAGUUUCGGAUUGCGAUGUGUGUGUCUUCAGGAACCUGGUUUGGUUAAUGCCAGGUGGUGCGUUGCGGGAGAAGUUCUGGAGUCGAGUUGUCGCAGGCUUCGAGGGCGAAGCCUAAUUUAAGUGGGGGAGAAUUGUAACCCCCCAUUCCUAAAAGUACUUAUUUAUGAGUUCCCGGGAUUUAAGAAGAAGAGUAUUUUGGUCCUUUUAUGGGAAAAGUGGGAAAAGAAGGCUAAAUAUGAAAAUUUGGGACACGCCGAGUACGCCGAGCGUAAGUGAGUAAAUGGACGCGGGUGCAGGGUCGAGUACGCCCAACGUACUAGAGGUACGCCCAGCAUACUCUUAGAGUUCUAAAACCCUAAAAUUAGGGUCAACCACUAUAUAAGGAACAUGUUGGUUCAUACCCUAGCCUCCAUAAGCUCUCUCUUAACCUCAGAAACCCUAGAUAGUCGUUCCACCUCCAUUGUUGGGCGUGUUUGGCCUUGGAAAGCUUUUUUGGCAAAAGAAAGGCUAGAAGAAGAAAGAGGAAGUUGUCAAAGAAGGAGUUGAGUGGAUGGAGCUUAUAGAUCUGGAAAUAUAUCAUCCUUUGGAGCCUAUCUGAGGUAUAAAGCUUCUUGCUUGUCAUUUAUAUUGCAUAGAUCUAAGUGUUGUGAAGUUUUGACAUCAUUCUUGUCCCAUAAGUCCUCAUCUUGAUGCAUGUUUUGAGUUGGUCGAGAUUAUCUGUCCUUUCAGACCUUAGGAGAGGUCUUGAGUGAGAAAAAUGAGGUCCCAAGGGCUGUGGUUGUUCCANGUCCCAAGGAUUGUGGUUGUUCCAUGUGUGAGAUAAGUAGGUCUUAAUGGAUUAAGACCUUGGAUUAAGAACUUUAUUAAUGUCCCAAGUGAUAAAGUUUGAGACUUUAUGAAUCUUAGGCAUAUUUGGCCUAAGGAUCUGAAGUUUGGGCUUAAGAGCUUAAGCCAUUAAGAAGUUAUGUGGACUUGAUGAGCAGCGAAGUUACGCCCCGCGUAACAGAGGAGUACGCCCCGCGUAGCGGGUCAGUGCCCCAAUCCUCAAUUGCGAAUCAGUGUGUACGCCCAGCGUACCAAGGAGGGUACGCCCAGCAUACUCCCUCUGUUGGGUUUUCAUUUUGAGCCUUAGGGAUUGGGCUGUUAUUGGGCUGCUGGAUUUUGGUCCGUGAAUGGACAUUAUGGAUGGAGUAUUGUGGACCCAUUAAUUAUUAUGGACCAUGGGUCUAGGCCCAUUUGGUGAGGUGGGCCCAAUUUAGUAAAUUGGGUCAAUAGUGGGCUUUGCUUCGGACUUUUGGUCUUUGGGCCAUCAGUGGGCUUGAGAGCUUAUCCAGUGUUGGGCCGGAUUGAGUUAAGGGUAAAUUGGUCAAUUUACCCUUGGAAGGGUAUUGUGCUUAGCCUAAUGAUUAUUUUGCUAUGUUGGCUAGUUCGGGAUUUUCGGUGAGUCGGUGAUGUAAACAGAAUGAAGCCGAUAAGAUUAGAUAGAUAUGAAGAGAUAAUGUUUAGUUGUUAUCAUAUUAUCUGUUAUAUUCAAGAUCCUAUGUUUAAGGAUGUAUAAACUGUAACUCUUAUAUAUAUACAUCAAUAUACUGCUACGGGAAUCAUUAAGCCAAAUUACAUCUUUUAUCUUGGUAUCAGAGCCCAACUCCUAGGGCUGUGAAUUUCUCUUCUCGUAUUCUACUCCUUCUCAAUUUCUUCUCUUACGUCUCAGAUCAGGUUCAUCAUGGCUUCCGCAUCUGGUACUACCUUCAUAAACUCUUCCAAAAUUGCUACUACAGUGCCUUGCAAACUUACCCGUACAAAUUUCCUGCUGUGGAAAGCCCAAGUUGUUCCAAUCCUACGUGGAGUAAAAUUGUUUGGUUAUCUCGAUGGAACCAUAGCCACCCCAACAGCCAAGAUCACUGUUGGAACAGGAGAGGCUGCGAAAGUUGAAGACAAUCCAGCCUAUGAUGCAUGGAUCACUCAAGACCAAGCAAUUCUUGGAGCUUUACUAUCUUCCAUGACUGAAGAUGUGCUAUCACAGCUUACGUGCUGCACAGAUACCUCCAACCAGCUAUGGACCUCGUUGCAAACCAUGUUUGCGGCUCAACACAGAGGUAAUUCUAUUCAGAUUCAAACCCAACUCUCAAAUACAAAAAAGGGUGAUAUGAGUGCAUCUGAAUACUACCAAAAGAUGACCGGAUUGGCUGACACUAUGGCCAAUAUCGGUCAUCCCAUGUCUGAUGAAGAGGUUAUUGGCUAUAUUCUAGCCGGCUUGGGUCCAGCCCAUGGAGAUCUAUUCACAGCUAUUACAGUCUUGAAUAAUAGUCAGGAAGUAAAGCUGUCUGAAUUCUACUCAUACCUUAUUGCACAUGAAGCUCAAACAACUGCAAUAAAUGGACCCAAUGAUUUUUCUUCUUUCGCAAACACUGUUACGAAACAGGAGACUACCAACCCUCGCAAAAAUCAAACCAACAAUGGUUAUAAUGGUCCAAACAGUGGCAAUUCUCGAUCAAAUUUCCGCAACAAUGGGAAUCGAGGCAGAGGGCGUGGUCGAGGAAGAUAUGGUGGGGGCCCACGCUGUCAAGUAUGUGGCAUUCCAGGCCAUAUAGCUUUGAAUUACAGAAACCGGUUUAAUCAUGCAUACCAGAAUGAAGACUAUCGAAGUGCAAACAAUGCUAUCCAUGGAAACUAUCAUGGCCACUACACCAAUGAUCAAAAUUGGUAUCUUGAUACAGGUGCUACGGAUCAUCUAACAAAUGACUUGGAUCGGCUGUCCAUUCCAAAAAGAUACCAUGGAAAUGAUCAAGUGCAAGUUGCUAAUGGCACAGGUUUGCAUAUCUCUCAUGUUGGUCAUUCUAAAAUUAAUAGUUUAGGUCGACCUCUUAUUCUUAAAGAUGUUCUUCGUGUCCCUUACAUUAACAAACAUCUUCAUUCCACUGCUAAACAUGUUAAUGAUAUCAAUGUAUUUAUUGAAAUAUUUCCUAAUGUUUUCUUUUUUAAGGACAUCCACACGAAGAAAACACUUCUAAUCGGUAAAAGCAAACGAGGUCUCUUCCCGGUGCCAAUUCGUCAUACUCCUCGAUAUGUUGGGUCAAGCAAUAAAGUUUUGUCUUCUCAGUGGCAUCAACGCUUUGGUCAUCCUACCUCAGCAACUGUUAAGUCUAUUUUAAAAUCCAAUAAAUUCGAUUUUUCUUGUAGUGAGUCUACAAUUUGUGAUGCGUGUCAACGUGCUAAGAUUCAUCAACUUGCUUACAAUAAUUCUGUUCAUGUCACUUCUUCCCCACUUGAGCUUGUUCAUACCGAUGUUUGGGGUCCAGCUCAAGUGUCUAGUGGUGGUUUUAAAUAUUAUGUUAGUUUUGUGGAUGAUUAUAGUUGUUACACAUGGAUUUAUCUUAUUAAAUGUAAAUCUGAUGUUGAACAAGUUUUUUACACUUUUCAAACUCAUGUUGAACGCCUUCUUAAUGCCAAAAUUCGCACCAUUAAAUCUGAUUGGGGUGGUGAGUAUCAUAAACUUCACCAGUAUUUUCAAAAAUGUGGAAUUGCUCAUCGUGUAUCAUGCCCACAUACAUCGCAAAAAAAUGGCAUGGCUGAACGCAAACAUCGUCACAUUGUUGAAACAGGCUUGGCUCUAUUAGCUCAUUCUUCCAUUCCUCUUCGAUAUUUGGAUGAAGCAUUCUUGACAACGUGUUACUUAAUCAAUCAAAUGCCCAGCCGUACCAUUAAAAACUCUACUCCCAUUACACGCCUCCUUAACAUUGUUCCUGACUAUUCAUUUUUGCGUAAUUUUGGCUGUGCAUGUUGGCCAAGUCUCCGUAAUAUAAUGCUCAUAAGAUUGCUUUUCGAUCUACUCUAUGUGUCUUUUUAGGGUACAGAUCCAUGCACAAAGGGUACAAGUGUCUAGAUAAACGAACUGGUCGUGUUUAUAUUUCAAGGGAUGCAGUCUUUGAUGAGUCUAGGUUUCCGUUUGCCACACCCGUCAUCGAGUCAACACCUUCUUCCAUAGCUCAAGGUGUUUCGUACCCACAAACCGAACCUAGCCUUGUGAAUGACCACAUGAAACGAUAUGACCUAUCUCUACUAUUAGCUAACUCUUCUCAUGCAGCUACAGGUUCAGUUCAAAAUACUCCCAGCUCAGCCACAUGUACUGCUGCUGUCAUCCCAAUUCCAAGGAUCUCGCCCUUGAAUGUGCCACCAACAUCGGUUGUUCAGUCAACUCCUACCAUGGUCACAACUCCAUCACAUACUCCUGUUACACAGGUUAUCCAUGAUAAACACGACAUUACAACGUCUUCUCAGCCGUCUCCGCCGUCUCAUCCUCCAGCGUCGCCUCCUGUUGCUCAGCCCUCUUCACAACCAGGGAUUGUUACUCGAGAAAAGACAGGCACUGUGUGUCCGAAACGUUUUACGGAUGGCACCAUUGUUUACAAUCCGAAUCGGCGAGCCUUCCUGGCUAUCCCAACUUCUCACAAAGCCGCCUUACUUGACCCUCAGUAGAGACAUGCCAUGGAGGUCGAGUUUGCUGCACUUCAGAAAAAUCACACGUGGGACUUGGUGCCUAAACCUCCUCAUGUCAACAUAGUGGGAAGUAAAUGGAUAUUCAAAACUAAAUAAAAUCCUGAUGGUUCUCUUGACAAACACAAGGCGCGACUAGUUGCUCGGGGUUUUACACAACAAUAUGGUAUUGACUACCAUGAUACUUUCAGUCCAGUCGUCAAACCGACCACUGCUCGAUUGGUUCUCUCUCUCGCUGUGUCGGAAAAUUGGCAUCUUCGCCAAAUUGAUGUUAAUAAUGCAUUCCUCCAUGGUCUCCUACAUGAAGUUGUCUACAUGAAACAACCCCCGGGUUUGAAGACCUUCAUUAUCCUAAUUAUGUGUGCAAGUUGAGGAAAUCGAUUUAUGGUUUAAAACAGUCUCCGCAUUCCUGGGUCUCGAGACUUAGUCACAAAUUGCACCAACUUGGAUUUCGUUCAUCAACGGCUGACUCUUCUCUUUUUGUUUUUCAUCAUGGCAAUCACACUAUUUAUAUGUUGGUGUAUGUUGACGACAUUGUCAUCACCGGUACCUCUCAAGCAAUUGUUGAUCAACUGAAUCUCUCAUCAACAUUUCCUAUCAAGGAUCUUGGUCGUCUUAACUAUUUCUUAGGAAUUGAAGUCACUCACAAUUCAGGGGGAAUAACUCUUGUACAACACGAGUAUGCAUCUGAUCUUAUUCAUAGAGCUCACAUGGAGAAUUGUAAGAGUGUCUCAACUCCUAUGUCUGUCACUGAUAAGCUUGCACAAAAUUCUGGAAAGCUACUAAAUGAAGAUGAUGCGUUUAAGUACCGCAGCAUGGUUGGAGGAUUACAAUACCUAGCUUUAACGAGACCCGACGUAUCGUUUGCGGUGAAUAAAGUUUGUCAAUAUCUAUCAAAACCCACUAAUAUGCAUUAGGAAGCGGUUAAACGUAUACUCAGAUACAUAAAAGGUUCGAUGAAUACUGGGUUACACAUCAAGAAGUCCAAUUCAAAAUUGUUAAGUGUAUUUACAGAGGCAGAUUGGGCAGGCUGCCCAGAUUAUCGUAGGUCCACGGGAGGAUUUGCAGUGUUCUUUGGUCCAAACUUGAUUUCGUGGAUCUCAUGCAAGCAACCUAUAGUGUCUCGUUCUAGUAUAGAAGCAGAGUAUAAAGCAUUGGCUAAUGGCACAGCUGAAGUAACAUGGGUACAAUCAUUACUUAAAGAACUUGGGGUAUGUCAGUCUAGACCACCGGUGUUGUGGUGUGACAACUUGGGAGCUACUUAUCUUACAGCAAACCUAAUUUUUCAUGCUAGAACCAAGCACAUUGAAGUUGAUUUCCAUUUUGUAAGAGAAAAGGUAGCUAGAGGAGCUUUGGAUGUAAGGUUUAUAUCUUCUAAUGAUCAGAUUGCAGAUGGUUUUACCAAGCCGGUUACACGUGCUAAACUCGAGCAAAUGAAAUACAAUCUUAACCUUGUACCAGUCAAGAUUGAGGGGGAAUGUAAACAGAAUGAAGCCGAUAAGAUUAGAUAGAUAUGAAUAGAUAAUGUUUAGUUGUUAUCAUAUUAUCUGUUAUAUUCAAGAUCCUAUGUUUAAGGAUCUAUAAACUGUAACUCUUAUAUAUACAUCAAUAUACUCCUACGGGAAUCAUUAAGCCAAAUUACAUCUUUUAUCUGGUGAUUUGAGAAUCUGCUUCUUCAGUUCAGAGUUUCGGCAGUGGCAAGGUGACUUAUCCUCACUAUAUCAACAGGGUCUAAGGCACCAAGGUCGGCCCUUUAUCGGAUUGAGAUCCGGGUAUUUGUUGUUAUGUUAUUGAUUUGAUAUGUUUGCAUCCUGGUAGCUAGGAUGGUAUAUGUUAGAGACCUGGUUAAGGUCGGUAUCCUGUUAUGUAGGAUGAUGCUAUGCUAGUGACCGGUUAGGUCGGUAUCCUGGUUAGGAUGAUGAUAUGUUAUGUGAUCUGCUAGAUCGGCUUGUUGACUGUGAUUUGUUAUAUGAUUGUAUGUUUAUGUGCACAUGGUUAUUUGGACUGGGGUUGGGUUGAGGCGGGUCCUGCUUUGUGCUGUAGGCCAAGAUACCUAGGGCGAACCGGUUGUCCCGAAGGCCCAGCGAGUGGUCCGGAUAGGCUGUAGGCCCCAAGAGGGCGGACCAGACGUGCCGAGGCUCGGAGAGUGGACCAGGCCGACUAAAGGCCCGGUGCGUGCGGACCAGUCAUACUGUAGACUCAGAGAGUGGACCAGGUGGAUUGAAGGCCCGGAGCGGGCGGACCAAUCACACUGCAGACUCGGUGUAUAUGGCUAGACUCGGAGGGUGGACCAGGUGGACUGUUGGCUGGUGCGGCGGACCAGUCACACAGUAGACCCGAAGUGGAUGGCUGUUCUGUGUUCUGAUAUGAUAUGGCAUGAUAUGCGAGUAUGGUAUAUGUGGUUGGUAUUCUGGGGGUAUCUCACUAAGCUUUCAGGCUUACAGGUAUGGUUUAAUGCUUUCAGGUUCUUCAGGAGACUGUGGCAAGGCAAAGGCGUGAUCGUACCGCUCCUCGUGAUUAUGUUUUAUGAUCUGAUUCUGGGAAGACUCUGAUAAUAAUUGUAUUGAAAACCUUUUGUAAUAACAUUAAGAAAAUGGGUUGUUUUUGAAAAGUUAAAAUUGGUUGAAUUUUUAUGGUCGUUACAAUUGUUGUGAUACUAUACAUGAUGUUCUCCGCCCCAGAAUGUUUCCGCCAUUCAUGGUUUUAGGGUGUGACAGAUUGGUAUCAGAGCAUUGUUUAUAGUGAAUUGAGUGUAUCAACCCAUAAAAGAUAUACGAACUAUAAACACAAGCGGGAUUAAAAUACUCUGACUAAGAGAUUAUACUUUAAAUAUUUAAUAUAUUUAAUUAAGUAUACAUACCUGCAUUCAUACUAAAAUCAAUGUCACUAAGACAGUACAAAAGUAUUACGAUUGUUGGGUAACACAAGUAGACUUAGAGACAUGUGGUCAACCCUGGGAAGAUGUAGCCUAAUUAACUACAUUAUCCGAGAAGUGACUAGCAUGUGCCUAAGGAUGGUUGUGAGGUUGCAACAAGUCUAAAAACUUACCAACACUACCACAAUAAGAACGGUAGAACAUAACAUUAAACUUAAAAAUACUAUAAGAGUAUUCGGUGUUACUAUGAUUAUUUACCUGAGAACUAAAGGUCUUUAUUUGUAAGCCCAAGUCAAGUAUUGGGGUAACUGAUAGAGAUCACCUUAUAAUUAUCUAGUUAGCUCGUCUAUUAAUUAUUUCCUUACCCCUUUUCUCGCAUAGAUAUCAUGGCUGGAUUUCAUCAUCAUGACGACCCGUACUUUCCACCCAACGGCAAUGCGGGAUGGCUUGAAGCAGAGUCUGAUGAUGAACAUCAAAUCCCUUUGGAUGAUCAUCAAGCUGAAGGCUUCUCGGAUGGAUCUGACUUCGAGCCAGAAGUCAACAACCUACCUCAAGUAGGUCAAGCUCCGAAUAACAACCCCCGACCUGCAUUUCAAGGACCCACACCUCUGUGGGCAACAAACUUGAAUAACUGGAGCCAUGAACAGGGUCAACCCAUUCCCUACAAUGGAGACAGAAGUUUCUACAACCUCACUGAUGGAGGUUCUGCUGACAGAGUCCUACCCAUCAUGGUUAGUAUGAUGUCUCGGAACACGAUACUGGGUCAAUCAUCUAUCAAUUGAAUCUUGGAUAUUAAUGCCAACACUGGUGUUAACACUGUCCACACUCUCCGGCUAGAGUCUGCUCAUGAAAGGGCUCUAGUUCGCAAUGUAGCUCUUCAGAGGGAACUCACUGAAACGCGAGCUGAAGUCAGAGAACUUCGAGCUCAACAAGCAAGAGCUGACAGGCGCAUGAGGGACAUAGAACGUCUUCUAUCGGGAUUAAGAACUCACUCUAGUAGUUCUCGUCGCUGAUAGAUUCUCUUCAAAUUCUCUCUUUUGGAUAUAAACUAGUUAUGUAAAACUCUGGUCUAAUUCCUUAUCUUUGUAAAUCGUAGGCCUGUUAGGUCUUAGCUAGGUUGUAAUUCUGUCAAAAUUUUCCCAUUUUGGUUGAUGUAAGGCCAAUUUCUGUUGGCCAUUUUUCCCGAACUUGUUACAUCUGUAAUUCCAGUAAUAUUGACAGGUACCUAAUCUUAUGGGGAUUAUUAUCCAAAUGUGAUCAUCUAUUAGUUCUAGAUUUCCAUUCAAUCAUAUCGUUGGGCUAUAGAGAGUUAGUCCAUGAGUCAUUCUCAUUAAUUCGUCCAUUAAAUUCUUAUCAAUAUUUUCAUCUUCAUAAAGUAUAGAUCAAAGAUGCCGCCUCGCAGAAAUCCGCGGAGAAACCUCAAUAACGAAACACCACCUCCUCUACCUCCUCAACCACCUACUCCUCAGUUCGACACUGCAGCCUUAAAUGCUGCUGUAGCUGCAGCUGUGGCCACAACUAUGGCUCAGUAUCAAUCAUCUGGUUCCGUUGGAGGAGGAACCCCUGUUCAGUCUGUUCAGGUUGAAGCUCCUGUGCGCUCUAGAGAGUGCUCCUAUAAGGACUUCACGAACUGUAAGCCCUUGUCCUUUAAGGGGACUGGCGGAGUCAUUGCCCUCUCGCAAUGGUUCGAGAAAACCAAAUCGAUUUUCAAAAUCUGCUCUUGUUCUGAAGAGAGCAAGGUGAAGUACGCUGCUUGUACCUUUGAAACCAAAGCCUUAACAUGAUGGAAAGACCAUGUUAAGUCACUAUCUCUUAUAGUGGCUAAUGCUAUGGGCUGGGAUACUUUGAAAGACCUCAUGAUUGAGGAGUACUGCCCAAGGGGCGAGAUCCAAAAGCUGGAGGAAGAGCUAUGGAGCCUAACCAUGAAGGGCUCCAACGUAACCGCUUAUACCGCCAGAUUCUGCGAACUGGUGGCUCUCUGUCCCAACAUGGUUCAUACAGAGGGAAAGAAGAUUGAGCGUUACAUAUGGGGACUGGUGCCACCGUACCAGGGAAAUGUCUUGGCAUCACACCCCAGUACAUUUGAUAGUGCCAAGCGAUUGGCACAACGGCUCAUAGACCAUGGGGUUCGUACCCCGACCGCAACAACAACUACCCUGGCCGUCUCAGAACCUGCAAGAACCGCUGACUCCAAGCGGAAGUUCUGGGAUGACAAGAAGAAAUCUAAGGUUGCCAAAAAGCAGCAGGUCGUGGCAGUGCAUGCUGCGAUAGCACCUGCCACUGCUGCUCCGGUAAAGCAGUAUUCUGGAAGUUUGCCCAAGUGCAACAAAUGCAACUUCCAUCACGUAGGCGCCUGCCGGGAAAUGCAAUGUAUGAACUGCAACAGGAAGGGGCACACUGCCCGUUUCUGUAAAGCUCCGGCGAAACCAAUCAACCAAGUCCCCGAUGCAGGAGUGGGCCAAGCUUGCUACAGAUGUGGCGAAGUAGGCCACUACAAAAGGAACUGCCCAAAGGCAGGGAUUGCCGGUGGAGCGGCAAGAGUUCUGGCCAUAGGCCAUAAGGAAGCGGUUGCUGACCCCACAGUGGUCACUGGUACGUUACUCCUAAAUAACGCUUAUGCAUGCAUUCUAUUUGAUAAUGGAGCGGAGAGGAGUUUCGUGAACCGAAAAUUUGCUCAUUUACUUAAGCAAAAAUCACGAGCACUUAAUGAAACGUUCACUGUAGAAAUGGCUAAUGGGAAGACAGAGAGCACUAACUGUAUAUUCAUAGGGUGUACCCUAACUUUAGAUAACCAUUCUUUUUCUAUCGAUCUUAUGUCAGUCUCAAUUAAAAGUUUCGACGUCAUUAUUGGCAUGGAUUGGUUGAGUCGUCAUCGUGCCGAUAUCAUGUGUUACGAAAAGGUUGUUCGCCUAAAUCUACCGUCUAGUGAAACCUUAAUAGUUUAUGGUGACAAACCCGGCACGAACCUUCGUAUCAUCUCGAGAAUCCAAGCUCGGAAAUUCUUACGAAAGGAAUGUACAUCAUUCCUUGCUCAUGUAGUCGAUGUGAGCCAAGAAACGAAGGACAUUCAGAACAUUCCAGUAGUACGCAACUUUCCUGACAUCUUUCCAGAAGAACUUCCAGGAUUACCUCCGCAAUGUCAAGUUGAGUUCCGAAUCGACUUAGUUCCAGGGGCUACCCUCGUAGCCAAAUCGCCCUAUCAUCUAGCACCUGUAGAGAUGCAAGAAUUGUCCUGUCAACUUAACGAACUGCUCACCAAGGGCUUUAUAAGACCAAGCUUCUCACCCUGGGGAGCUCCAUUCUUGUUCGUCAAGAAGAAAGACGGAUCGUUUCGUAUGUGCAUCGACUACAGGGAGCGCAACAAGCUGACAAUCAAAAAUCGUUAUCCUUUGCCUCGGAUUGACGAUUUGUUUGACCAACUCCAAGGGGCGAACUUCUUUUCAAAAAUCGACUUGAGAUCCGGAUAUCACCAACUACGAGUGCUAGGGGAGGAUGUCCCAAAGACAGCCUUUCGAACUCGUUAUGGACACUACGAAUUCGUAGUGAUGCCGUUCAGAUUGACAAACGCACCAGCUGUAUUCAUGGACUUAAUGAACAUGGUGUGUCGUCCUUAGUUAGAUCAGUUUGUCAUCGUCUUCAUCGAUGACAUACUUAUCUACUCUCGAAGUAAGGAGGAGCAUAGUCAACAUCUGCGACAAGUCCUCGAAACAUUACGUUCAAAGAAGCUCUACGCGAAGUUCUUGAAAUGCGAAUUAUGGAUUCGACGAGUCGAAUUCUUAGGGCACGUGGUUAGCGAAGAAGGUAUACACGUGGACCCUUCCAAAAUCAGGGCCAUUGAGAACUGGUCAGCACCAAAGACGCCUACAGAAAUCCGUCAAUUUCUGGGCCUCGCUGGCUAUUAUCGCAGGUUCAUUCAGAACUUCUCUCGCAUAGCGAAACCUCUUACAACACUGACCCAGAAGGGAGUGGCCUUUGACUGGGAAGAGAAACAGGAAAGAGCGUUUCAAACGCUCAAACGAGCCUUGUGCACCGCACCAAUACUAUCCCUUCCCGAAUGAAUAGAAGACUUCGUUGUCUAUUGUGAUGCAUCGAAUCAAGGACUCGGAUGUGUUCUGAUGCAACGAGGUAAGGUCAUCGCGUAUGCCUCGAGACAGCUAAAGACACAUGAGGUCAACUACACGACCCACGAUCUUGAACUAGGAGCAGUUGUGUUUGCUCUGAAGAUCUGGAGACAUUACUUGUACGGGACGAAAAGCACUAUCUUUACAGAUCACAAGAGCUUACAACACAUCUUCGACCAGAAGGAGCUCAACAUGAGACAAUGACGGUGGGUCGAGCUACUCAGUGAUUACGAAUGCGAAAUUCGUUAUCAUCCGGGUAAAGCCAACGUAGUAGCAGACGCCCUGAGUCGGAAGGAAUAUUCUGGUCGUAGAGUCAAAUCAUUGACUAUGACUAUCCAUUCACACUUGUCCACACAAAUUAAGGCAACUCAGCUUGACGCUUUGAAGCUUGAAAAUGUGGCGGUUGAAUCCCUAAGAGGGAUGGAUAAGAACUUGGAGGUUAAGGGUGGCGGAGCUUAUUAUUUCAUGGACCGGAUCUGGACCCCAAAACUAGGUGGUUUCAGAGACUUGGUCAUGAACGAGGCGCACAACACUCGUUAUUCCGUGCACCCGGGAUCAGAUAAGAUGUAUCUGGACCUCAAAAAGUUAUACCGGUGGCCUAACAUGAAAGCAGAGAUUGCUACCUUUGUGAGUAAAUGCCUUACUUGCGCAAAGGUCAAGGUCGAAUACCAGAAACCCUCCGGUCUACUACAACAACCGGAGAUACCGGAAUGGAAGUAGGAACGGAUAACUAUGGAUUUCAUAAGCAAGUUACCCAAGACGAUGGGUGGGCUUGAUUCCAUAUGGGUCAUCGUCGAUAGACUGACCAAGUCUGCACACUUCCUGCCGAUCAAAGAAACAGACAAGAUGGAGAAACUUACAAGAACUUACAUUAGGGAGAUUAUAAGACUGCACGGUGUUCCCUUAUCCAUUAUCUCGGUAGAUUCACUUCGAGGUUCUGGCAGUCAUUACAAAGUUCCCUAGGAACUAGGCUGGACAUGAGUACAGCCUACCAUCCGCAGACCGACGGGCAAAGUGAGAGAACUAUCCAAACCUUGGAAGAUAUGUUGCAAGCCUGUGUGAUAGACUUCGGGAAAGCAUGGGAUACUCAUUUACCCAUUGUCGAAUUUUCCUACAACAACAGUUAUCACACGAGCAUAAAGGCUGCUCCAUUCGAGGCCCUCUAUGGCCGAAAGUGCAGAUCUCCUCUGUGCUGGGCUGAGGUGGGUGAUACCCAGUUAGCUAAAGGACGAGUCCCUGAAAGCACUCUCACAGGUCUGGAAAUCAUAUGGGAAACGACGGAGAAGAUCGUUCUGAUUCGUGAACGAUUGAAAGCCUCUAGAGACCGACAGAAAAGCUACGCUGAUAAACGUAUGAAACCGUUGGAAUUCCAGGUGGGUGACCGUGUUCUAUUGAAGGUCUCACCCUGGAAGGGCGUGAUACGCUUCGAAAAGCGUGGAAAGCUAAAUCCAAGGUACAUAGGGCCUUUCGAGAUUCUCGCAAGAAUCGGUCUUGUAGCUUACAAGCUUAACUUACCGCGCGAGCUCAGUAACGUACAUUCUACCUUCCACGUAUUGAACUUGAAAAAGUGUUUGUCCGACGAGACUCUUGUUAUUCCACUCGACGAGAUCGAAAUCAACAAGAGCCUCAACUUCGUGGAGGAACCAGUAGAGAUCAUGGACCGAGAGGUCAAACAAAUGAAGCAAAGCUGCAUCCCGAUUGUGAAGGUUCGCUGAAACGCCAAGCGAGGACCGGAAUUCACUUGGGAGCGUGAGGAUCAGAUGAAACUGAAAUAUCCUCAUCUUUUUGCUUAGUUAUUUGUAACUACUUUAUUUGUUUAGACUUUAAUUUCGGGACGAAAUUCCCUUUAACUGGGGGAUGAUGUGACAACCCGAAAUUUUCAUUCGGUCAAACCCUAAAAGUCAAUCACUUCAUAUUCGGUCAAACCCUAAAAAAUAUUGGCUUGCGUUUUCUGUGUCUAGAAUCCACUUGGAUUAUCCAAGGCUGAAUUUCUUGUAACCCAGACAUAUGAUAGAAAUAUCAGUUUGAAAAGUGAUAUCACGAUCCAAGUUGGUAUCCAGAUCCCCACCACAAACCCUCCCAACACUUAGAUAGAUUAUGAUAACUUAUAAUUAGAUUUGUUGUACAAAUAAGAUCCAAUCAUUUAAGAUUUAUCGUUAUUUUUAUCUAUGUAUUUGUACCUAUAUAAUAGAAUGAAGCCUAUGGGAAUGUUACGGCUAAAACACAAUUUUACUUAUGUUAGUCUAUAAUGUACUUUAUAAACUACAAUAAAUUAUUUUUAUUGUCUUAUCAAACAUUAAAUUAUGAUAAAAAUCUAUAAGAUAACUUAUUUUUAUUAGAAAAAAAAAAAAAAAAAAACUUGCAACCUGAAUGAUCUUCGUGUGAUGCUGCAAUCCCCGAGUCAAAACAGAAGGUCGAAUCUCUUGAGAUUAGCUUCUUUGUGACACAUCUGGAAGGAGAGGAAUGAAUCGUUGUUUAAAAAGGUGAGAACAACUAGCUCCUAUAAAAACAACGGAUAACAUUCAAACUUUUACUUUCAACUAGGUUAAACAUAGAUCAAAUCUGGUCUCGUUAGAUUGGUCGAAUUAGUUUAGUUCUUCCUUGUUUAAAUGUAUUUAAAACUAUUGUAUCUUGCAUCUUGUUUUUUUUAAUAUAUCCUUUCAAAAAAAAAAAGCUACAUUUAAAAAUCAUAAAAAACAUCUGUUUAGUUGGAUGCCAUUUUCUAAUGAAAUUUUGGCAUGCUGUAGUCCACAAACUCAGAACAGCUUACCACUUUCUAUUCAAUAUCCACAAACCACUAAAGCAGCAAGGCCUUGGAUUUGUUAAAUCGAGCUCUGGAAAACCGUAGAGUUCGCCUGUUAGGCAUUCUCUUCGCAUGUGACAAAGCCAUCAUUUUCAUUGGCACUUUUCGAAGUUGUCUAGCUUUUUAUAAACUUCACACACUUGAUUUAAUUAAUGGGGAUUUCUCAAUUAUUUAAAAGCAGAAUCUUCCAUUCUCAUUCCAGUUAGUAGUACUUCAAUUCAAGAAAAUCUCGACCCUUUGUGUGUAAUUUCAACAACUGUCUUUCUUUUUUUUGCCGACUUUCAAUCCCAGUGAGUCUGAUUACAAGCUUUCCCAACUUGCAAAAAUUCCAAAAAGAACUUCAAAACAAAAAAUCAAUCUUUUGGACAUUUGAUGUUGAGUUUCCCAAAAGGGUAAAAAUGGCAACUUUUAGUGGUUUAGAAAUUGGUUUGAGUUUUGUAUGCGGGUGUGUUCUCUUAGGCUGUGCUGCAGAGCUCUACUAUAUUCUAUGGUGGAAGAAAAGAAGAAUUGAUAUUGAGAACCAAAAUCUAAAGCUAUCUUUUUCUUCUUGUUCUUCCAAUUAUACCCCUACUCACCUCUCCUCCUACAUUUCCUGUUGGAAAAACCUUAAUUCUUCAGAACCCACAAAAACCCAAGAAAAACAACAAGAUCCAGAGAUGGGUUUGGUGGAAGAUCUGGUUUUAAUGGGUUCUGAAGAAGAAAGUUUCGAUCUUGAACUCAUGAGGCUGCAUAAUCUCCAUGGACCUCCAAGGUUUUUAACCACCAUUAAUGAAGAAACCAAAGAGGAUUUGGAAUCAGAGAGGAGUAGAAAAGGGUCAAGAACCAGAAGUUUGAGUGAUCUUCUUGUUCAUUUCGAUACCCCACAAGCUUCACCGCCAUUGAAGGCGUCACAGUUGCUAAAUCCGGAAAGUUUUCAAUUUCAUCACCAUGGAUUUAAUCCGCUUUAUGAUAUUGAUAUUAACAAGGUCGGAUCUUCACCACCUCCCACGUUCAAGUUCUUGAGAGAUGCAGAGGAGAAGCUUUUGAGAAGAUUGAUGGAAUUAGAGUCUGAAAAAGAGGCGAAUUCUUCUGCGAAAAUGGUGGAGAAAGAUGGCUCUGUAAAAUUGGUCGAAAGUAAGGGAAAGAUUCAACAAAGUCAUCAAAUUUCAGCUGCUUCAAAGGUGAUUCCAUUGUCGUCUUCGCCAUCAAACAAUGAGUGAAAUUGACAUGAAACAGUGAGCAUGCAGCUACAGGUUCUUGAAGUGGGUGAUGCUUUCUUUUUUCUUGAUUUUUUUUUUUUAAUUUAUUUGUUCUUAGUAAGUUAGUGUUUUCGUGUAUGUAUAAGUACAAGUUAGAGAAUCUGUGUUUAUUAAGUUAGAUCUUAGAUGCUUUCAAAGUGAUUACUUCAAGUCUUCAAUAAUCAGAUUACGGAUCAUAUAAAUUUUACAUAUGCUUUAAAAUAAAUUAAUGAGCUAUUUAAAAUAAUCAUUUUUUGAGACUAUUUUCUAAAUUCCUGAGUUUUUUUUUAAUGAAGUAUUUCUACUAAUAAUCGAAAUGUUCAUUUUAAAGUAUGUAGUAUCUUCGUUUUUUAAAAUGUUUUAUUUUAUGUCUUAAUAUCAUAUGAAGUUUUUGUUUAACUUUUCAAACUUUAAAAUUUUAGUCUGGAAGUCUUAAAUAUAUUUUUUUAUCAGAAAAAAUAUUUUUGUUGAAUGUCUCAUUCUGGAUUUUAUGGUUAUUUUUAUUAUUUUUUUUUUUUAAUUCUUUUCUUUAAAUACAUGUUGCACUAUGUUAGUUUAAUGAAUUUCCGUUACAAAAUGUACAUUUCAUACAGGGUAAAUUACAAAAUCCAUCCGUAAGUUUUACUUGUACAAAUAAUGUUAUCAAUGAAUAUUAUUGUUAUUAUAGAAGAAACACAAUUAUCUGUUUGUCCUUUGAUUGAUGAGUUCACGUAAGAGCAAACUUUUAAAAUCUUCAAUUCUUUUGACUAAAACCAUUAGUAAUAAUAAUAAGGGACCAGUUUGGUGGGAUACACUUAAUCGAUAAUAAUAGUUAUAAUUGAUGAUAUUGCCCACUUACAGGUUUAAUCGAUUGGAAUUUUUGUAUAAUACAAAUAAUUAAAUAAUCAUAAAAUUUUGUAUGAGUUGCCGAAAACAGUUAGCGACAAAAUAAAUGUUUUAUUUCUAUAAAUAAUAUUUAUAAGAUAUUAAUAAAAAUGUGGAUAUUAUUUUGUGGUUGGCAUGUAUGGUAAUGAUUUUGAACAACACUUACCGGUAUAUGAUGGCGAUAACCACGAAGCAUGUUCUUUUGCUUCUUCGAAAGGAAAACUUGUGGGGUUUUGUGUUUGUUUGUUUUCUCAUUAAUUCCCUCCCACUUUAAUUUAAAUAUUAUUUCACUGAUUAAAGAAACCACAAUAAAUGGAAUAAUGCAGCAUACAAUUAAAUAAAAUAUUUAGUUAAAUAUCUAAUUCAAAAUAUAGAAUUUAGAAAUAGGUUUUCAAUUAAAAAGGAAAAAAAAAAAAACUACAUAUAUAAUAGAUUUGGUAGUUUUGUGUAAUAAUUAUUUUGAAAACACAUGGUUUGAGGAUGUGCGAGGUGGGUGAUUGCACAUGACCCAUGUCGUGGAUGAGACCCAAUUUUUACAUACGAUUCAUUAUAGUUGACUAGUAAAUCAGGCUCGAAAACAAAAUUAAUUCAAAGGUAUGGUUACCAAGCCAAAGUCACUACCCCUUUUGAUUCACACAAAUCCAAGUCGGAAGUCGAUAUGACAUUAUUCAUUCUCUUGAACUCGCUAAGUCAUUGAGGAUGUGUGUGUUUGAUUAUUGAUUAACUAAAUUCAAAAUAAAUGCAUCAUCUGAUUCAUAAAUCAAAAUUGUAAGUUUCAAAAUCAAAUAAUAUCAUUCAAUUUCAUAAUCGCUUUUGGCCUUUGAUUUUAUAUUAUUGAUUAAUUGAUUGUUUUAAUUUAGAAAAUUAGAAUCGGUUUUCUAAGAAAUCCAAUGCUCACUUGUUGUGCUUCAAUUUCAUAAUUGGUCUACUUCUGUUGUGGCUUGUGUGUUUUAUUGUUUUAAUUUCAAGCGAUAAUUUAUCAUAAAAUAAGAUUGAAAAAUACAAUGCUCACUUGUUGUAUGCCAAGUUCUCCAAGUGUGAGUUUUGGUUGCGCGAGGUGCAAUUUCUUGGACACCUCGUCAACCAGAACGGGAUUCUGGUCAAUCCGGCCAAGGUCGAGGCCGUGAUGAGAUGGGAGGUUCCGAAGUCUCCAUCUGAGAUUCGGAGUUUCCUGGGAUUGGCAGGCUACUAUCGGAGAUUUAUCCAGGAUUUCUCCAAGAUAGUCGUACCCCUGACGCGGCUGACGAAGAAAGCCGUGGUCUUUCGGUGGGGACCCGAGCAACAGGCUGCAUUCGAGACGCUGAGACAGAGAUUGUGCGAGGCGCCAAUCUUAGCCCUGCCAGAGGGCGUGGAGGAUUUUGUGGUUUAUUGUGAUGCAUCCAUUUCUGGGUUGGGCGCGGUACUGAUGUAGAGGGGGCAUGUUAUUGCCUACGCUUCGAGGCAGCUCAAGCCUCACGAGGCGAACUACCGGACGCACGAUUUAGAGUUAGGGGCGGUGGUCUUUGCCCUAAAGAUUUGGCGGCAUUACGUCUACGGGGUUCGAUGUACCAUCUACACGGACCACAAGAGUUUGAGGUACCUCAUGGAUCAGCCGAAUCUGAACAUGAGGCAGCGUCGAUGGUUGGACGUGGUGAAGGAUUAUGAUUGUGAGAUCCUUUACCACCCGGGGAAGGCCAAUGUGGUGGCCGAUGCGCUUAGCCGCAAGGCGGCGCCGAUCAGGGACGUUUGCAUGAGGAUGACCGUGGUGACUCCCCUGUUGGAGCAGAUUCGGGAGGCUCAACAGGAGGCUAUCAAGGAGGAGCAUCGGAAGAGCGAGCGUGUGGUGGGUCAGGUUUCCUCCUUUGAUUAUGAUAGCCGAGGGAUUUUGACACUACACCGUAGGGUGUGGGUGCCGUAUCACGGAGGCGUGCGCCAGAUUUUGAUGGAGGAGGCGCACAAGUCCCGAUUCUCUAUUCAUCCCGGGGCGACGAAGAUGUAUAGGGAUCUUCGUCUAGACUAUUGGUGGCCCUGCAUGAAGCGGGAUGUGGCAUGGUACGUCGAGCGAUGUUUGACCUGCAGGAAGGUCAAGGCCGAACAUCAGAGACCGCAUGGCAAGAUGCAGCCGUUGGAUAUUCCACUGUGGAAAUGGGAAGAUAUCACGAUGGAUUUUAUCACGAAGCUUCCCAGGACCGCACGUGGAGUGGAUUCGAUUUGGGUCAUCGUGGAUAGAUUGACCAAGAGUGCUCACUUUAUCCCGAUUCAGGAGAGCAUAUCGGCUGAGAAAUUGGCCGACAUCUACAUCAGGGAGAUUGUGGCACGGCAUGGGGUGCCAGUAUCGGUGAUCUCGGACAGGGAUGUGCGUUUUACUUCCAGAUUUUGGAAGAGAUUCCAUGACGAGUUGGGCACUCGUCUGCAUUUUAGCACUGCCUUUCACCCGCAGACGGAUGGGCAGAGCGAGCGGACCAUCCAGACUCUGGAGGAUAUGCUGCGGGCGUGCGUGCUAGAUUUCGGUGGUAGCUGGGAUACCUAUCUUCCCCUGGCCGAGUUCUCCUACAACAACAGCUAUCACGCGAGUAUCGACCGCCCUCCCUUCGAGAUGUUGUACGGACGGAGGUGUAGGACCCCGAUAUGCUGGGGUGANCAGCUAUCACGCGAGUAUCGACCGCCCUCCCUUCGAGAUGUUGUACGGACGGAGGUGCAGGACCCCGAUAUGCUGGGGUGAAGUUGGCCAGAGGGUCAUGGGGAGCACCGAAGUGGUGCUCAAGACGACCGAGAGGAUCCAGCAGGUCCGGAGCAGGCUUCAGACUGCUCAGAGUCGGCAGAAAAGUUACGCCGACAAGCGUCGAUCCGACUUGGAGUUUCGAGUCGGGGAUAUGGUUCUCCUGAAGGUGUCGCCUUGGAAAGGCGUCAUCCGAUUCAGGAAGCGGGGCAAGUUGGGCCCGAGGUUCAUCGGACCGUUCAGGGUUGUAGCCCGGGUGGGCAAGGUGGCGUAUAGGUUGGAUCUGCCAGCCGAGCUCAGCCAGAUCCACAACACUUUCCAUGUCUCUCAGCUGCGAAAGUGCUUAGUGGACGAUUCAGCGGUAGUGCCGUUGGAGGAUAUUCAGGUUGAUGACAGCCUGAAUUACAUUGAGCGCCCAGUCGCAAUCCUCGACAGGAAGUCGAAGGAUUUAAGGAACAAGAGGGUGGAGCUAGUGAAGGUGCAAUGGCAGCACCGCAAGGGUUCGGAGUGGACUUGGGAGCCGGUGGACGAGAUGAUGGAGCACUAUCCCGAGCUGUUUCAGGAUCGAGCAGCAGACUUCGAGGACGAAGUCUAAAAUAAGUGGGGGAGAUUUGUAGCACCUGAUUCCUGGUAUGUAUUCGUGAUUAUUAAAUCUCUUUAUUUUGCACAAUUAGCCUUGGACUCGGCGAGUUGAGGGACUGACUCGCCGAGUAGAAGCGGGACUAGACGCGGGAUUUACUCGGUCUACUCGGCGAGUAGGUCCGAUGGACUCGGCGAGUAGACCCUGUUUGGACUUAAACCCUAACCCGGGUGUUUGCACCCUAUUUAAUCGAUCUAACCCAGCCUCCACUUCCCUUAGCACUCCCAGAGACCUGUAGAACGAAACCCUAGCCUCCUUUGUGUCCUUGUGGGUGAUUGUUAACAUUUUGAAGGUGUUUUGGGGCUUGGGAGAAGAAGUAGAAGAUUGAAGAGUGCAAGAAGGGAAGGAGAUCCGGAAUCUACUCUGUGAAAGGCCUCCAUUCAGGUAGAAAAGACCCUAACUUGAUCUUUAGCUCGUUAGUCCCCUUUUUGUCCCUAAGAAAAGAGGUUUUAAGCCCUAAAAACCUAAAUCUCUAUGUGUUUAUGGCUAAUGUUCUGCAAGAACUUCGGAUGUGGACCUUUUGGACUUCAUAGUAGCAUAAAGUCUCUGUGGUUGAGGUAGUGGAAGUCCCCAAUGAGCAUAGGACCUCUUGUAUAGCUUGGAAGUGCAUGUUUGAGCUCAUAGGGCCAUGCAUGCACGUAAAGUUUACAACUUUACGUGGUAAAUGAACCCUAGGACCAUGGAUCUGUGGUCUGGAAGUGUUGCAUGUCCUAGAUCUGGCCUACUCAGGAAGUGGGUCGAAGGACUCGGCGAGUCCCAAGGUGGAACUCGGCGAGUUCUAUGAAGAUGGUCGUCGACUCGGCGAGUUGGAUGAACAAACUCGGCGAGUCCUAUGAAGAUUGCCUGGAACUCGCCGAGUAGUUCUUCAAACUCGGCGAGUAAUAUGAACAUCCACAGAACAUGAGGGGUUUAAGCGUCAAAGGCUCAGCCCUUCGUACCUGUGCACGGAAUUAACCGUAUAACGUAGUCCCGAAAACCCCAAACCCUCGAAUGGGGUGUUUUGGUGUGGAUUGGAAGCAAGCAGAGGACCUGCUCGAGGAACUCGGCGAGUUGCUCGCAGGACUCGGCGUGUUGGUACUCGAGUCGGCCCCAAGUCCCGGAUAGCGAGUCAGGGGUGACUCAGUGAGUAAAAGAGGGACCUGGUGAGUGGGACCGGAUCAGUGAGGGAUGGACUCGGCGAGUUGCUCUCUGGACUCGGCGAGUCCAGUCAACUGGAAGUUGACUUUGACCUGGUCUUUGACUUGGUGAGGGGUAAAAGGGUCAUUUUACCCUAAGAACAUCUAGCGUGUUUGACUGAUCGUAUUGUGGGAAUUGCAGCCGGAGGGUUUCCGGAGCAGCAGCAGCAGUAGUAGGUGAUCAAUUCCCACACAGACCAACAGCUAUUUCGAGGUGAGUUUCCUUUCCAGUAGGAACGGGUCUAAGGCACCGAGGCUGACCCGUGUAGACGAGAUGCUAGUACUAGAGUGUGGUCCGAGCCCGUAUCUCUAGGUUUAGUCAAGUAUGAUAUAUGUGUUAAUACGAUAAAGUUGCUUAUACUCGUUGUCUGCGUGAUACUUGUAUGUUAUGGGUUAGCGGUUGAGUGUGGGCAGGGCCCGUAUCUCUCCGAGGUCGGAGUGUGGGCUAGGCCCGUACCUCCCAGAUAGUGAAGUGUGGGCAGGGCCCGUAUCUUCACAAGUGUGGGCGAGGCCCGUAUCUCCCGGCUAGUGAAGUGUGGGCAAGGCCCGUAUCUUCCCGAGCGUGGGCAAGGCCCGUAACUCCUAGCUGAACAUUGGUUGUUAUAUGUUUGCAUUGUAUGGGGUAUUAUGGGGGNCUAAGCUUUGUGCUUACAGUUUAUAGUUUUGGUUUCAGGUACCUCUUCGUCGAAGGGGAAGGAGCCGGCACGGUAGCGGCACAUCACGCACACACACGGAUUUCCGCACUUACAAGAUUCUCUAGGAUUUAUACUCUGAUAUUAUGAUGAUUGAAUGAUUUGAUUUUUAGACAUGGCUUACCUUUUGUUAUGGUUUGAUCAAACAAUGUUUUUAACAAUUAAUGUUUUUCUAAAGUAAUGUCUUAAAACGAAAUUUUUGGACGUGAAAUUUGGGUCGUUACAAACAGCCCAAUACUUCACGGUCCAAAUUCGAAAACCCAACAGAGGGCGUACGCUGGGCGUACGCACGUCCAUACCAAAAAUCCUUCCAUGUGCUUAAUGGCUUAAGCACUUAAGUCCAUAUGCCAGAUCUAGUGACAAAAAGGGCCUAGGACUCAUAAAGUCUCAAACAUUAUCCUAUUUGACGUCCAUAAAGCUCUUAACUCAAGGUCUUAACCCAUUAAGGCCUUCCUACUUCACACAUGGGACAACCAAAGCCAUUGGGACCUCAUUUUUCUCACUCAAGACCUCUCCUAUGGUCUGAAAGGACAUCUUAUCUUAACCAAAACACAUCAUGCAUCAUAUUAGGGGUUUUGGGGACAAGAAUGGUGUCAAAACUUCACAAAUCUUAUAUCUACACAAAAUAGAUGUCAAGCAAGAAGCUUUAUACCUUUAAGUAGUUGCAAAAGGUGAUGCUAUCUCAGAUCUACAAGCUCCAACCACCAAGGUUCCUUCUUUGCCAACCUCUUCUUUCUUCUUCUAAGCUUUUCUUUGCCAAACUAAACUCCACAUGACCAAACACACCCAACAAUGGAGAUGGAACGGCUACUCGAGUUUUUUUCUAAGGAUAAGAGAGUAGAUAAGGAGGCUAGGGUUGAUCCCUUAUGUUCUUUGUAUAGUGGCUGGACCUAAAAUUAGGGUUUAAUGACUCUGAGCGUAAGCUGGGCGUACUUCUAGUACGUUGGGCGUAUGCGUCCUUGCACCCGCGACCAUUACUCUGUUACGUUGGGCGUACCCACGCGUGUCCCAAGUUGCAUGCGUGGCCUUCCUCAACAACUCUUUCCAAUAAGGGUCAUAAUUGUCAAUAUCUUCAAAGUGUCAUAACUCCUUUAUUCUAAGUCCGUUCCCGACGAACUUUAUAUCCACGGAAAGGUGGCUAGAAGCCCGACGCUUCUAGUAACACACCCCGGUCUGAAACCGUCUCGAAUGAAACCCAUUGCCCAUAAAAAGACCGAAACGCCCUUACUCUUGAUCUCGGGAAUCCAUAAAUAAAUACUUUUAGAAUGGGGCGUUACAAUUCUCCCCCACUUAAAUCUGAUUUCGCCCUCGAAAUCGCCAAUUGCUAAUUCUGGCUACUCAAAAUCCCGAAAGGCACAUUCACGCCCCUAAAGCGUGAUGAACCCCAGGGGAGGCUAACCCCACUGGAACUCCAACUCGAAGAGAUACAUACUCAUUCCCAUGCAGUAUCAAGUACCUACCUCUCCGGAAUGCUUUUUACUUGGAAGGUUAGAUUGGAUCCGUCUCCCAGACAGGCCGCCCAAACUAACCAUCACCUGACCUCUUCCCAUUGCUAUCAAAAAGGACUACUCAUCCUUGGGAACCUGAGUUUCCGACCCGAAAACAGAACCACGAGUCAUAUUCUGCUUCCGACAACACUUGCUCUCUUUCAACUCAUACCCAAAUGUACAUACAACAAUAGCCUCACAUAAACCAACACUCACACCUGGCCCAAUCAACCUCGGGCUGGAAUAUCAGGCAUGCCUACAACGGGUCCUCUUAUCCCUAGGAUGGAAUACCCUCGUAUCCUACACAUGUUUGGCCCAAUCAACCCUUUGGUUGGAAUACCAAACACAUCCAGUCCAAUCAAUCAUAGGGUCCGGUCAUCCUCAUGAUGGAAUACCCUAGAUUGGCAUACCAAUACACACAUACUCCAGGGUCAUACCCCUGCUGGAAAAUCCAAGGAUCUCUCCUCGCAUCCCUUCUAAACUCCUUGGAUUCAACAUAACAGAGUGCAACUCACCCAAACCUCAACAAUACGUCUAUCCCAACCAUGCUACCGAAGGGAAACAUAAAAAUCACAAUCUCUAUACCCACGACCUAGCAGCAUCAAUCGUUGCCACGACGUCAACACCCCUCUCUGCACUAUCCACUGAUAGAUCACGAUGCCAUUCCAUAACUCAUAUACUCAGCGCCUGAACACCCGACUGAUAAACUUAUACAGGGUCCUCAUUACAUUUCCUUGACAUAUUCACAUCUUGAAGACAAACCCCUCAAUUGCUAUUAGCAUAACAGUAUCCUCACUACUUGUUCAAAGAUUCACAAUACAAGCAGGGUUCUUACCAUAAUUGGAUCGCCUCAUUGCACCACUCCCGAACCAAUAUCCAAACUGCGUCAGGCGACAUCCUGCAAAACAACACCCCAUCCAAGAAUUUCCAAUUAUCCCCCAAUUAGAGUACUAACUAUUGUCUAUCGGCGGCGACGCCGGUAUGCGACCCAAUCGUCCCAAUUCGAGACAACGAAAUUCGAGGGAUCCGAGUUCCUGCUGAUGACCCCGUAUCCUUGAAUCAUGACCUCUCUUUCUCUAGAAUACAUCACCAGAUACUACCCCUCCAUAAUCUCUCAAUAACAACUUCUCACAAGCAUCUAAUAUACUCCAAUAACUCAUGCAGGAAAUAAACAAUCUCAUAAUAAUAUGAACAAGAUAUAGAAGAAAAGACAUACCUGUUGUCACCUCUGGCAUUGUCCCGAUCUCCUCGGUCACAAGCUGAUAGGCACGCCUGGAGCCUUUGGAGGCUCUGCUCGACCCUGACCCUCGUCAGUAAGUCUCAAAGUGGCUGGUGUUGGGGCCUGCACUGGCCUGGCAGCCAGUAGAGGACAUUGGGCCUUCAUAUGGCCCACCUGAUCACAAUGAUAAUAAAGUCCAACUCCUGCAGAUGGAACCUGCUGCCUGCAAUCCCUGGGUAUGUGGCCCUCCUUGCUACACUUGUGGCACUCAGAAGAAGUACGACAACUUCCCUCAUGCACCUUGCCACACUUCCCACAAGUGCGACUCCUCUAGCCUCCCAGACGAUAAUCCGCAGUCCUCAACCGUUUUGGCGCAGGCUGCGACUGCACCGGGGCCUGCCUCUACUCUCUCAACUAGAGCUCGAUCUCUAACUCGCGCCGCCUGGCGGCCUCCUACAACUCCAACAAAGUAUCACUUCUCUGCGUAGACACGGACUGUCGAAUAUCUGUCUUGAGCAUGCUCAGAUACCGGGUCAUCUGAGCCUUCUCCGAAGCAAACUCGGGGCAAAACAUCGCCCUCUCUGUAAACAUCCUGGUGAUCUCUGUCACCGAUUCAGAAUCCUGCUUCAACUCCAGAAACUCCUGAGCCAAUCUCUCCUGCUCAACCCGCAGAACAUAACGAGUACUGAACAUGUCUCGGAACUGAUAUCAAGUAACCGCAGCUCACUGCGCAUCAGAAUACGAUCCCGUAGUCAACCUCCACCAAUCCUUUGCCCCGAGCCUCAACAGGUUCAGAGCACACCUCACCCUCUGAUCAGCAGGGCAUGAACACGUGAAGAAACAUCCAUCCACGUAUGACAAACCAUCUCAUAGUAACGAUCGGAUCCUGAACUCCAUCGAAAGUAAGGGGCUUCGUAUUAUCGAAGUCUCGAUACUGAAAGCCCCGGCCGGCUCCCCCUCCUGCCGCUGCUACAGCCACUGCAGCUGCCGCGGCAGCCGUCUCUGCAAGAGUGAAAAAUAUGCUCAUCAAAGUACUCAGCCAUGGCGGUCUUGAUCGACCCAAACAUCUCUGGCAACUCAGCCCGGAACAUAGCAGCAACCUCAUCAUGCAGGAUCUCACGGAUCCUAGCAUCCAAAUCAUCUGUACCCAUCUGACCAAUGACCUCGGGUGGUACUGUCCCAUCCUGACCACCCUCUCAUGAUCCUGAUCUGGAACCGGAUCCUACCUCGAAGCGUCUCGUAAUCGCCAUACUUCAACAUACCAAAAAUAUCUUCAGAUGUGCCUCAUAACAGCCUGAGAACUAACUUCUAACCAACACCCCAGGGGGUUGUGACUUCCUUGAUACACGUAUGGCUCCUGUGCUUUCAGUAGUACGAGCCCAUACUACCUUCCACACCUACCCAUAUUUGUCUUAAGUAUCACCACAACGCCUUAGACAUAUACACACAUAGCAAGCGCUCAAUCCUCACUCCUAGAGGAAUACUGAGUAUCUCACAUAAGGAAACCCUAGGCUAGCAGGCAUCACAUAAUUAGACAAUUCUAUCAUGCAAUUCCCGAAGAUCCCUAGCCUAGUACUAGCAUGUUGUUCUAACAUAUCACAUAAUCAAAUAACUUGUAUGGUAUUUUGGGGUCAACUUACUGGCUACGACUGAUCGUACCCUCUGCAUCCUCCUUUACUUAUUUUGAAAACCAUUUAAAAAAUCUUUCCUUGAUUUGAGACUGGAGUCACAUGAAUGUUCCUCCAAUUCACUAAAACCAAGGCUCUGAUACCAACUUGUAACAUCCAUAAUAUUUAAGCCAAUUUAAAACAUUUUAAUCCAUUCAAAAACCAUUAAGUUAAUACAUCUUGUUUUCAAAACAGUUUCAAACAUCAGAGUAUCCCCAUGACCAAAUCACAAAAUCAUGAAAUAUGAGGAGCGCUGCGAUCACGCCUUUGCCUUGCCACGAUCACCUAAUGUACUUGAAACAAUAAACUGAAAUCGUAAGCUUGAAAGUUUAGUGAGUGUAACAGCCCGGAUUCCCAGGUAUUAUUCAUUUAUUUAUUUUGGUAAUUUGUGAGGAGACUCGGCGAGUUGGAGCCUAGACUCGCCGAGUAUGAUCGCGGAUUUUGAAGCGGGUUCGCGUCCGGACUCGGCGAGUCCACGCUGUUUAAUGAAACCCUAAUUUCUCGGGUUUGAGGCAUAUUUAAAGGGCCUUAUGGCUGUCAUUUGCACUCAUCAUUCCCCAGAGUGAAAACCUAGAGCAAUUGAGUGAUUCAAGUGAGGGAAUGAGCCAUUAUUGAUCUUGGAGUUGUUGUCUAGCAAGGAAAGAGGAGAUCUAGCCAAGAGGAAGCAAGAGAGGGUUGGAUUCUUGAAGAUUUGAGGUCCAGAACAUCACAACUGAGGUACAAUCUCGAAUCAUUCUCUGUUAUUGUGAUGUUCAUGUAGAUUUAGGGCUUUUGAACCCAUUUGUGGCUAGAUCUAGUGUCCUCAUGGUCCCUUAGCGAGUUAAGGUCCUGGAUCUGGACCCAUAGAGGUCCAGAGCACCUCUUUACCAAAGCUUUAUAUGCAUCCAUGGAGGUUUUGGCUUGGGAUCAAUGUAUUUGAGGCUAAAACACCAUUCAUGAGCUAUUCAAUGCUUGAUGAGCAUCAAGACUUGGACUUUACGUGGUCAAUAAGCUUAAGGAGACUGGAUCUAUGAGUUAGUGAAGCGGAUCUGACCUCAGAAGGUCGUUUGGGGUUGUGCAUGGAAUGCACUCGCCGAGUCCAUUCCCCAGACUCGGCGAGUUGGUGCGGGUUGUUCAACGAUUACGAACCAGGGGUUGAGUAACCGAGUCGGGUGAGUGACUCGGUGAGUCGGAAGAGAUUCAGAGGGAUCGGGUUCCCGUAGGAACUCGGCGAGUCCACGCCAGACUCGGCGAGUCGGGUUGACCGUUGACCGUUGACCAGUGUUGACUGGUUUGACUUCGUGGUAUUAGUCAGCCAGAGUCAAGUAGUAUUAAGUAGAAAUAUGCUUGUGUUGUAGGAGGACGAUAGCUCGGGAGAUCGAGCACUAGUGGUUAAGAGAUUUACGAGUUACCGAGACACGCGAGGUGAGUCUUCUCACUAUACAUUACCUUGAGUGGUAUUUCGAGUUGACCAGAGGGUCUUAUGUGUUAUGAGAUUAUGUGUUGUCUUAGAGAUUUUGUGCUAUGUGUUAUUUGUAUGUUGUAUGGUUAUUUUGACCGGGCCGGAGGGCCCAACGAUUCUGACCGGGCCGGAGGGCCCAAUGAGCUGUGACUGGACCGGAGGGUCCGACGAGCUGCGGGACUGGAGGGUCCCGCUGAGACAUCUAGACCAGAGGGUCGGAUUUAGCCUUGAGUGGCGUAUUUGUGGUAUGUGGUAUUUUGGGGAACUCACUAAGCAUUUAUGCUUACAGUUGUUGUGUUUGAUGUCUCAGGUACCAGCGAGGACCGUGGGAAGGCGAC
rnacentral:lncRNA from 1 species